rnacentral:lncRNA from 1 species
CUCAUCUAAUUACUAUUUGUCUUGAAAAGAUGUAGUUAAAUUUUAUGAAAGAUUAUUACAUAACUCCUAUCUUUUGCUAAAUUCAUGUAGAAAUCGAUGUUUUGAAUUACAAAUGAUCAGCUAAUGCUUUACCUAAUAGAUUGACAUCAAACGUCUCACAUCCUCAGUCAUUUAUAUACACUUUUUGAACAGUUCAAAAAAAGUUAUUUUCUGAAAAGUGCAUUUAUACAACGGCCGUUUGUCUGAAUUUAAAAUAAAUGUUUUUUGCUUAAGGUAAAUAAAGUGGAGUAGAAAUAAGAAAUUAAUCAAGACUUAUAAGUGAUUAAAGUGUUUGUUAAAAAAGUAAAAGUCAUGAAAUAAAAGCUAGAAUUCUUAACUUUUUAUAAGUUUUUGAGUAAAUGACAAAGUGGUGGCUAUAAUUUUUCAAAUUUUACAAUAUAGUGGCCGAACUUUAAAAACUACAUAAUGGUGGCCGGAGUUUACUUUCGUCUUUUAAUAAGGUGGCCGCCGUGAAUCUCCGUUAAUUUUCCUCCGUUAACCCCGAAAAAUAAGAGUAAACGACAAAGUGGUGACUAUAGUCUUCCAAAUUUUAUAAAAUGUUGGCUGGAUUUUCAUCAUUUUUUCAUUUAUUUUUUUAUUUUUUGAAGUUAACGGAGGAAAAUUAACAAAAGUUCACGACCACCACCUUAUUAAAAGGUGGAAGUAAACUCCGACCACCAUUAUGUAGUUUUUAAAGUCUAGCCACCAUCUUGUAAAAUUCGAAAAACUACGGCCACCAAUUUGUUAUUUACUCUAAGUUUUUUUCAACUUUUUACACAGUACAAAUAAUUGUUUCUAACUUAUAACUCCAACUAGCGGAGCUUAAAAGCUCCACCCAAACACCCAUUAUACACUCUGCCUUAUCUAUGCAUUUCAUUAAUUAAAAACAUAUUUCUUAGAAGUUAUUUUGGUAUCGUCUAUACUAAAAUAUGCUAGUCGUACUCUCGAAAGAGAAACAAAUAUAUAAAUUAGGAAUAUUAAUAUAUAUAAAUAAAGAAAAAAAUGGACUAAGAAAACGUGCUUGUAACUUGUAAGGUCCAUAAGUCUUAACAUGCCGAUCUUAUUUGUCGAUAAUUUAAUAGCAGAAUAUAAUUUACAAUGUGAUGACUAAACUACCCUCGAAACUGGCCGACGCCUACGACCACGAGAGACAAAAUGGUAAUACCGUGGCCAAGUGAAACCCCCUGCCCCUGUCGGAGCAGAUAAGUAACAACCCACCCUUAUCCCACGUGUCAAACUAUGCGCGUGUCUCUCACGCGUUCAGACACAUUUUCUCGCGUCUUCUCCGGCAACCUUGUAAGUUGUAAUAACAGCGUAUACAUAGAGAUCAGAUAGUACAGCCACAGAAGAUGUAGAAAAAACAGAGCAUGAAGACGAUGGCGACUGACUCCAACGCGCUUAUUACAGACCACAAUAGCGUGUCGAUGAUGGAGAAAUCGAGGGUGGGCAUGAACCGGUGAAUGUCCUCCGGUCUCCAGCUGGGCAGGAAUCCCGAUAAGAGGAGCCUCGGCCACCGGAAAAGUGAGGUGGGGAGGCUCAUACUCACUUCCACCCACCUGAAUGCCGAUCCCCACCCCUCCAUUCACAGCUCUCUCUCUCUCUUAAUUAUAAUAUUUAUAUACCUAAAUAUCUUCUUACCAAAUGGCUGACAAACAAGAUAUAUUCUUACAAAGUGAUUUCGUGAAUCAUAUUGCUAUAUAUGCUCUGGAGCAUUUGAUUCUAUAUUGGAAAUAUUCUAAAAUAUUAUAGAUUUAUCAAACUUUUUCUCAAAUAAUAGGACACACGUAUGAAUAACUUUAAUUGAUUAAUUUAUGUGUUUAUAAAAGAAUUUAUUACAAUUAAUACGAGUAUAACCAAUUUUGGGUGUUUAACAUUUUUAAAAUAGUUUCUGAUUGUUUUUUAAUAUAAAUUUUAUUAAUUAUAUUCUGAUUCGACUAAUUAAUCCUAAUUUAACGAUAAUUUUUUUAAUAAAUUUUUAGUGAUAGAUCAAAUAUAAUUUAUAAUUCUUACCUAUUAGAAUGUGAUAUGCGUGUGGAUGAAUACCUGUUACUAUAUACUCCUUCCGUCCUAUUUUACAUGUCCCCAUUUGCCUUUUGACCGGUCAAAUUGAUCAAAUUUUGACUAAAUAUUACAAAUUAUCUUUUCAUUAUUUUCGAAAUCUGAAAGUUGCAUAUUAAAAUACACUAAAUAUACUUUUUAAUGAUAUAAUUUUUAUUAUUUUUUGAAUUAUAUGAUAUAUGUAAAAUUUCGGUCAAAACAUAUUCAAUUUGACUGGUCAAAAGUCAAACAGGGACAUGUAAACGGGGAUGGAGGGAGUAAAAUAUUAGAGCAUCUCCAACCAUCUAAAACCCUUGGCUAAAAUGUGAGUUGGCAUGCUUAAAAUAAAAAAAUUUAGCCAAACAGCUCCAAAAACUCAACUCCAACCAUGAUCAGUUGUUGUCUAUAAAUUUAGCCAACCUCCUAUGGAUGGCUAAAUUUGUCGAACCUCUACAGGUCUGUAAGAAAAUCUAUAAGAAGAUUGUACAUCAUUUAUUACCAUAUUGAACUGAUAUAUUCUAUUUUAACAAUUUUAAAUAUUAAUAAAAUAUUAUUUUUAAAUUAUAGCCAACCAAUAUAGCCAAUACCAUUGAGGCAAAAUGUCUUACAGGUUCAGUAAAUUUUACAUAAUGUCUUACAGGUCCAAUUUAGCCAACGAUUAUAGCCAACGUCGUUGGAGAUGCUCUCUCCUAUAAAAAUAAUGUGAAAGUAUUAGCCAUCAUUUAUAGCAUGAUAAUAUCUGGUAAUUUUGUGGGACCUGGACUUAAUGCGUGGUUGACUAGAACUCAUGAUCAACCGUAAUUGUUGUUAGAUAUUUUUUUAUUAUUAAUUUCUAAUAUUGGGUCUGCAGUUUACAACUGAUUCUAAUAGUUGAUUCUAAACAAAUGAUCAGUAGAACAAGAAGAAGGAUAUUUGGACUAGUUGAGGGAAUAAUUAUAGCAUCUGGUUCUUAAUCCUGAAUAUUACUAGACUUUUUUCAGUCAAUCUGGUUGUUAAGGAUUAGCAGCAAGCAUUAGUUUUCAGUUUUCACUUUCUUGGUUUGUGGGAUAAGUUGAGCUCUAUUGUUUAGUGUUUUCACCAGCAACAACAUUCGUCCUUUUCCACUACGUACUUAUCAUUGAGAAAAUCAACAUGAUCUAUGUAAGUAUUCUUCAUAAGCUCCUCAGCAACUUGAGCAGGAGCACUUGAACGCUUCCUAAAAGCUCUUUCCCNUGAUGCUUGAUGUCGAGAUAAGUGGAUGCCAGAGUUUUGAAACCAUUAGCAGUGAGAUAAGACAUGUAUUCCUCCAGGACGCAACAAUCUGAAAUAAUCUUUCCUCUUGACAAACAAAUCCAAGUCAUCCAUCACUAUCAGGGCUUUCUUCGUAUUAGUCUCCAUUGGAUGAAUGCUCUAGUGCUAUUGAGUCCCAACACCCUGAUCAUCCGAUAAAGCCUGCUAGAGUGUGCAGCUUCACAGCUCUCUUUGCAUUUUCCAUCAUCUACUUGUUUACUCUUCUUGGAAGUGCUCUCUGAUUCCUGGCAAACGGAUGCCCACGCAAUGCAGAGACUGGUACACUGCAGAAAGAUUCAAGUUUCUUCACAAAAAUGGACCUACACAACCCUCUGCUUUAUUGUUUUUCCACUUUCAUGCCAACUUCAGCACUACAUGAUCAUCUGAAAAUUUAUUUAUGCAAAAUAUACACAACUAGACUAAAGAAUCUGUAAUAUGCAUGUAUGCUUGGGAUUCAAUACCACACUGCUCACAUUUUAGUGGUUCAAAUAUUAUUUUUACCAAAAUACUUAUAUACCACAGAGUAGAAAUUUAUACAACACUCGAAAAGAUUUAUGUAGAUUCAGUCAUUCACUAUCAUGGAUCAGAGUGAUCCUUGUAGAAAGAUUCAUUCUAUAUUCAUCAUAAUCUUUAUCCAUGUUAGAAUAUUGUGUUUAUUAUUUUAUUUUAUUUCAAAUGUGAAUUAUGCCAAUUUCCCAGAUGUGAUAUGACAUUUCCACAUAAUACACAACUAAGCAGCACAAAAUUUAUCAAGUCAACAAAUUGCGUCAACAAAAAGCAGCUAAGAUAGGUGAGAAAACACCAUCGUAUGAGAUCCUAACUUGUUUAUUCACCACAAAAACUAAGCACAUGAAAAUUUGCCUUAGGAUGAGCUUUCAGAUAUAUCUUUUGAAAGCCGUUCAUAUCCGUAUAUAUUACGUGUAUAAACUCUCUUAUUCUCCAUUAUAAACUUUACACAUGAAUUUAGAUGACAAAAUAUAGGUGGAAACUUGUUAAACACAACUACUAGCACAUGAUGUCUUUUAAAAUUAGUCCUCCCACCUAGACCUAGUGCCUCUCUGUCACUCAUUCUGCAUUUGGAUCAACUGUUCUAUUAAUUCCUAUUUGUUCUAUAUAAAUAUUGGGCCCAGAGCCCAAAGGAAGGAACAAGCCCAUAAGCUAGCCCAGUGCUAGGGAAAAGCCCAUUCAUACAUAGUGACCCGAAGUCCGAUCCGAACCCUUUUUUUUUUUUUUAACAAUGCACGCUUAUAUGCCUUACAAAUUAGUANUAACAAUGCACGCUUAUAUGCCUUACAAAUUAGUAUCCGUUCUAAUAAUUCUCGGGGUGAGCCAGAGUCGAACCCGGUGUCCCGAGACAACAGAGAAUAAGCCCACCGCUAGGCUAUCCAAUCGUGCUCAAAAUUUCGACGUUAAUUUUCAGUUUUAUUAUACCAUUUCUUACACGAACACCUCUCUUUAUUCGAAAUUGCCAACCUAAGAUUACUUUUUAAGACAAAGAGGUAGAUGUUCACUUUUUCUUAACAGUUGAAGGAAUAUGAGAAAAUGAAAUAUUUUGGGAAAUGAAAGAGAUUAUUAUAUCGGAGGCAAAGAAAGCAGGUGAAAAAUGGCCGACGAAAAUGAAAUAAUGGAGGGUAUGGGAGGUUUCAGUGGUAAAGUAAUAACAGUUAGUGAAGCCGUAGAGGAUAUCAUGUUAGUUUGGGGUUUACAGCAACCCUGUUUUUCAACACAAAAUGCUUUUGUUCUUCAAGCUUCUCUCCUUCUCCCUCUUGAUGCUUGUGGUCGCUCUCUCUCCAUUAUUCAGUCCCCUUGUUCUCUCGUAAGUAUCUCCUUUCCCUCUCUUUUUAAUCCAUAUCCUGUCUUAUUGUAAACAUAAUUCAUAUUCGUUUAACGGAAUUUCUAGCGUGUGCCUGGAACAACCACGUUUUAGUUAGGUGUUAGAUUACUAUUGAUUCUUAUCUUAUUAAUAAUGAUGGUCCCGCCGAUCAGAAUCCUCGGUCUAAAUUAAAAGUAGUUGUUAGUUUGUGGCCACGGGGACACACUAGACUCUUCGUUUGAUUCUUAUUAACUAUCAUUCUCGUAACUUGCGAUUUGUUCAACUGAAUCAGGGCACUCCAGGAGUGACUGGAUCAGUAAUGUGGGACAGUGGCGUUGUGUUGGGUAAGUUCUUAGAGCACGCUAUGGAAACAGCACAGAUUGAUCUAAGAGAUAAAAAGGUUGUGGAAUUGGGGUCUGGCUGCGGUUUAGUUGGGUAAUAACAACAAACAUCUUACGCCCACUGCUUAUAUCUGUUGACACAGUCUGUUUCCUUUUUCCUUUAUUCGGGUUUUUAUUCUUUUUAUCAGGUGCAUUGCAGCUCUUUUAGGGGCGCAAGUUGUACUCACUGAUAUGCAAGAUAGGCUCAAGUUACUGAAAAAGAAUGUGGAAGAGAAUCUAUAUGGGAAUGUGCGGGGUUCUGCCACUGUUAUUGAGCUCACUUGGGGAGAUAAGCCUGAUCCGAAGCUCAAUAAUCCUUCACCUGAUUUUGGUAAUUAUCUCUCUCUCUUUUUUUCUUAAGCAAUCUCUUGUUCCUUGGUGUAAGAGUACACAUCUCAUCCUUUGUUUGGUUGGAAGAAAUAAAGUGAGAGUGAGGGGAAGUGGAAUGGAAUUUGAACUAGUUUGUAGACAGCUAGUUUCAACUGGAGCAUCCAAAUAUUAAGUAUAAGAUCACAAUCAAAACUCUAAUAUAUCUGAAAUAAACUGAGCUAAUUUUAUUGGCAGAACUUGUGGCUAUAUAUAGCCUUACAAAGCUGAAACGAUAAAUCCUAAUAACUGGAGUUUAUCUUCAGUGAAGAUAAAGACUCAUCAAACUACUUUAUUCCUAAUGACUUAUCUGAAACAAAAUAGAGUCCUGGAGCUACAACUAGAGUCCUAUAAUACUAAAAUGAGAACAAAACAAUUCUUUCACACCCUCCCUUAAACUAACUGUCAUAACAGAUAUACAGUUAGUUUACAUCUUCCAGUCUGCACACACCCAAGCGACCUCUGAACCAUAAGAAUGCAUCUAGCGGCAGAGGCUUUGUCAUUAUAUCAGCAACCUGUUCUCUAGUUCCACAAUGUAUCAAAUUAAUGACUUCAUUUUGAACAAGCUCUCUUAAGUAAUGAAAACGUACGUCAAUGCGCUUGCUUCUACCGUGCAUAAUAGGAUUCAUAGAUAGCUUUAUAGUAGAACUAUUGUCACAAUAAACCAGAGUUCCCUGAUUGUGAACACAACCAAGUUGUUCGGUAAUUCUCCUCAUCCAUACUGCUUGAAUUGCACAACCUGCUGCCGCCACAAACUUAGCUUCUGUCGUGGAUAAUGUAACAAUAGGCUGCUUCUUUGACAACCACGAGACGACCCCAGAACCUAUCAAGAACACAUAACCAGAGGUGCUUUUCCUGUCAUCCACAUCUCCAGCAUAAUCACUGUCCGUAUACGCAAUCAAAUCUGAGUUUUCUCCCCUGUACAUAAUUCCGUAAUCCGUUGUUCCCUUUAAAUACCUUAGUAUCCGUUUAACUGCUUGUAAGUGAAGUUCAGUAGGUUUACACAUAUACCUACUGACUAAACUAACACUGUACAUCAAAUCUGGACGAGUUGCAGUAAGGUACAUCAAGCUUCCUACUACUUGCUUGUAAAAGGACUCGUCGAUUGUGACACCAUGCUCAUCAAUCUGUAACUUGCAACCAGGAACAAUUGGACUACAAACAGCUUUGCUUUCCAACAUUCCAAACCUUUUCAAAAUUUCAGUUGCAUAUUUCUUUUGGCAGAUAAAAAUGCCAUUUGCAUUAUGUGUUACUUCAAUACCGAGAAAGAACUUCAUCAUCCCAAGAUCUGUUAUCUCAAAAGUUUUCAUCAUUGAAGCUUUGAAAUCAUUUAACAUUGUUUCAUCAUUACCAGUAUAAAUCAUAUCAUCAACAUAAAGACUGACAAUAAGCAUUUUACCUUCGUCGCUUUGCUUAGUAAACAAUGUUUGCUCAUUUGGACACUGCUGAAAACCUUGUGCAAUAAAAUAAGACAGUAUACGACUAAACCAAGCUCAUAUAAUGCCUUAUGUAACUUGUACACUUUAUUUUCACUUCCUUUAAUUUCAUAGCCUUUUGGUUGCUCUACGUAUACAUCCUCCUCAAGCUUGCCAUGUAAAAAUGCAGAUUUGACAUCUAACUGAAAAAUUUUCCAGUUCCUUUGAGAUGCUAAUGCCACCACUGUUCUCACUGUCUCCAUUCUAGCUACUGGUGCAUAUACUUCCCCAUAAUCAAUUCCAUAUUUCUGCGAGUACCCUUUUGCUACCAAUCGAGCUUUGUACUUCUCAAGUUCCCCCUUUUCGUUAUGUUUAGUCUUAUAGACCCACUUAACUCCGACCUUUUUAGCUCCUGCUGGCAAGUCAACUAAGCUCCAAGUGUUGUUUUUCUCUAUAGAUUCUAUUUCGGUGUCCAUAGCUGCCUUCCAAUGCUUACUCUUCACUGCUUCCUCAAAACACAAAGGAUCACUAGACACCAUUAAGGCCAUGUUGACUUCAGAAUCAUCCUCUGAAUUAUCUACAUCUUCUCCUGUCACAUAAUCAUUAAGCCAUGAAGGGGGUUGUGUUUCUCUUCUGCUUCUUGUACCUAUAUUGUCAAUUUCUGCAUCGGGUCCAUUGUCAUUUUCACUGUUGUUGUCCACUUCAUUAUCACCAUCAUUAUCAGGACAGUCACCCCAAUCUAAGGAUCUUGAAAUGUCAUUUUCAUUACUUAUAUCCCAAUCCCACUGUUUUGCCUCAUCAAACACAACAUCCCUGCUUAUUACAAAUUUCUUGGUAAUAGGAUUAAACAACCUAUAACCUCCUUUUGUCUCAUCACUUACACCCAGAAAAAUACAAGUGUUACUUCUAUCAUCAAGUUUAGUUCUCUGUACCUCAGGCACAUGAACAUGUGCAAUGCAGCCAAACACCCGAAAAUGAUCAACUGAGGGACGCAAACCACUCCAUGCUUCUUCAGGGGUAAUGUCUUUCAAAGCUGAAUUUGGGCAUCGAUUCAACACAUGAUUACUCCAAUUAACUGCCUCGGCCCAAAAUAUCUUUGGAAUUUUCUUCUCUGAAAGCAUAGCACAUACCAUGUUCAUUACAGUUCUGUUUUUGCGCUCGGCCACACCAUUUUGCUGAGGUGUGUACGGAGCUGUUAGUUGUCUUUGUAUCCCAUUUUCUUUGCAGAAACCAUUGAAUUCGGAAGAAGUGAACUCUCCACCUCUGUCCGUGCGUAAACAUUUAACUGGCAGCCCUGUUUUAUUGCUUACUAACUUCACAAAACAUUUAAAAUUACUGAAAGCUUCUGACUUAUCAGCUAACAAGUAAAUCCAAGAUUUCCGGCUAUAGUCAUCAACAAAGCAUAAAAUGUACCUCUUAUUUCCAAGGGAGGCAGGUUUAAUUGGACCACAAAUAUUAGCGUGGAUAAGGUCCAAAAUACGUCCAGCUCUCGACAAACUUUUAGUAGGAAUCGGAUCUCGGUGAUGCUUCCCAAUAAGACAAUCAUUGCAGAUUUCGCUCGUUGCAGUGAGCUCUGGUAACCCUGUAACCAUCUUUCUAUGUUCCAAACUCUUCAGGCUUUUGUAGUUUAAGUGACCAUAUCGACGAUGCCAUAAUCGAGUUGUCUCACUUACAUUUGUGAGAAAACAAGUGUCAGUCAUAGUUGGUGAAAAUUGAGAAUGACUUUGUUGAUGUGCAUGCACUUUGAACAUCCUGUUUGCACUCAUCUGGGCUUCUAUAAUAAGUCCUCUAUCGGGAUGAUAAAUACCAUUUAACACAAGCCUCACAUUACCUCGAGCUGUGACAUUCAUUUUGCAAUUAUUCCCCAGCUUUACAGUAUGUUGGAAUCCUUCGAACAUAGUGAAGAAAGUUUUAUCUCCGCACAUAUGAUUUGAACAACCAGAAUCCAAGUACCAUGCAUCUUCUCGUUCUCUCUCGGUCUUGUCAACAUAGGCCAUUAACAAUAUAUCAUCUUCUUCCUCAACCGUUGCAUAGUUGGUUUCGUUGUUCCAAGCUGGACACUCAUACUGAUAAUGGCCUAGUUUAUGACACUUGAAACAUUCUAUAGUCGCCUUUGAAAUAACAUGUCUUCCUCUGCCCCUGCCUCGUCCUCUUGUGACACUUCCCCGUGCAAACACUCUCCCGCGUCCCCUUACAUUAUGUCCAGUAUCAUAAGACACUUUUAAAACUUGUUCCUCUUCAAUGUCCUUCUCUUUGCUAAACUUUUGCUCAUGUACCAGAAGUGAGCUUUGAAGAGCAUCAACAGAAAGGGUAUCAAUAUCCUUUGACUCCUCAAUAGAACAUGUAAUUCCAUUUUUUAGUAAGAGUCCUUAAGAUCUUCUCUACUAUUUUCUGAUCUGCCAUGUCCUCCCCAUAGUUUCGCAUAUCAUUUGCCGUGACCAUCACUCGACCAAAAUAUUCAGUAAUUGAUUCUCCAUUCUUCAUAGCCAAAAUUUCAAAACUCCUGCGAAGUCGGUUCAAUUGAGCUCGUUGAACACGGGCGUUGCCUUGAUAUUUUAACUUCAUUGAAUCCCAGAGUUGUUUCGCAGUCUCUUUCUUAGUGAUUGUUUUCAAAAUCGACUUGUCAAUGGAAGAAAACAAGUAGUUUUUGGCCUUCAGAUCCUUUAGUCUUGCCUCAUCUAGGAUCUUUUUCUCUGCAGCCGGCAAUGCUUCUUCUUUUUCAGGUACUGUAUAACCUGAUUCCACGACACUCCAGAACUCCUUUGAGCGCAGAAGAUUUUCCAUGACCAGACUCCAAUGGUCAUAGUCCCCGUCAAACCUCGGAAUGCUAGGUUGAACGUAUCCGCUAUUUGUUUCUGCACUCAUCUUCCUUUUUUUUUCUCUAACCUGGCUCUGAUACCAAAUAUUAAGUAUAAGAUCACAAUCAAAACUCUAAUAUAUCUGGAAUAAACUGAGCUAAUUUUAUUGGCAGAACUUGUGGCUAUAUAUAGCCUUACAAAGCUGAAACGAUAAAUCCUAAUAACUGGAGUUUAUCUUCAGUGAAGAUAAAGACUCAUCAAACUACUUUAUUCCUAAUGACUUAUCUGAAACAAAAUAGAGUCCUGGAGCUACAACUAGAGUCCUGUAAUACUAAAAUGAGAACAAAACAAUUCUUUCACAACGUGCCAGUAUACCAGUGAAUGUUCAUUCCUUUGGGUAAAACAUCUCCAAGAAUAAGAUGCUUAGCUUGCUUUUCCGUUAUCCAUUCUAUUUUAUUACAAUCAACUAAAGGGAGCAUUUGACAAAAGACUAUUCCUAAGGGCAAGUCCAAUGGAGGUGCUAAGAGGGAUGCUAUAUCUAUAAUAUAGCACACAUUAAAAAAUACACACUCCAAUGGGAUGCUAAAUUUCCAAUUAGCAAAAUGCUAUACCUAGUCCUAAAAUAUAGAACCAAGUGUGGAUGUUUCAAUAAUUGUCACAUAGACAUGCAAGUGGGGAAAUGGAAGGAAAUAACAAGUUUGUUAAUUUUUUGUCAUUUCAUUUAACAGGUGGUUGAGAAGUUAGCUACAUAUAGGUUAUUUGGUGUUAUUUUAAAUCUACCCAUUGGAGUAGAAGUUUUAUUUUAACAUCACAAGUCACUUUUGAUGCUAAAAUAUAACAAUAGCUAUAUGUAUUUUAGUACCACCAUUGGCCAUGCUCUUAGAUUUUUUGAUGUGGACAAUAGAAGUUUGUUUUGAAAAUGGAGUUACGGGUUGCUAUAUGCUUGUUGCUGUAUUUCGAUAUGAUAGUACGACAAGUUUUGUCAAAACGGUAGCAACCUACUAUCCAGUAUGUACUGUAAUCUAUCAAAGCUUAUUCUAAUUCUGUAAUUUGACUAUCCACUAAACAGAAAUUGGCAAAAACUUUCUGUGCUGUUCCAGGAGGUUUAUAACUAACAAAAGGUUUGGUUUACAAAUUUAAGAUACUCGGUUACUCGGCCCUAGUUGGCGCUACAAAACUUUAUUGUGCACACCCAAAACAAAGGAUAAUAUUAUAAAACAUGAUAUUAAAACUGAACACUUUCUGGCCGCUUUCAUAAAGUUUGAUAGACAUAAUAAAUGCUAUUGUAAAUAUAAUUUCAUAGAAUGUUCAUUUGCUUCUGGCAUGGCUGUGAGUCUGGUUUAUAAUCUUUCUGUUGCAUUUUGCAAGGCCCUAAUUACAUAUUUAUGUUCUGUCAAAAAAUAUGCAGUGCUCGGUUCAGAUGUGAUUUAUAGUGAGGAAGCAGUGAUAGAUUUGAUUGAAACAUUAGUAGAACUUUGUGGACCCCAAACAACGAUCAUACUGGCUGGAGAACUUCGAAAUGGUAGGAAUGUCAGAUUUAGUACUCAAUAUCGUAGGGAUAUAUCUAUGCCAGGUAGUAAAAGACUUGUAUGUUUGCAGAUGCCAACCUAGAAUACUUCUUAGAAGCAGCGAUGAAGGUGUUUGUCGUAGGUCGGAUUGGUCAAUCACAGUGGCAUCCAGACUAUUGCAGCUCCCGUGUAGUCAUGUAUGUUCUGGUAAAAAAGUAACUGUAGGGGCAGGAUUAAGAUUAGCAAUGACAGACAUAAAUCUUAGCUAAGCCAUGCAAGAUCGUUAUUCUUGAUAAAGUUUUUGACAAUCUGCCUGGUCUAUUCUCGAACUGUCUAAGAGUUAAUCAUCCCAGCAAGAUUCACAUGGUUGAGAGAAAUUAUCAAUUUUUUCUUUUACAUGCCAAUUUGUUGCUGGAUAUGUAGUUGCCAUUUUUAUUUUUAUUUUUAACAUUUAUGUAUUUUUUGCACAAGACUUUACUUGAAUUUAGCCACCCCUGCAGUUCCAGGAUUGCUUCUCCAUACAAGCACAUAGUUACCAGUUGGUUCUCUACUUCUCUCAUUGCUGCUACUUCUAUAAUCUCGAUCUAGAGAUUGCCUGAUGUGAUUGUUUUAAUCUGACAAUUAGCUGUAUGUCUCUUACUCAUGUUAACCAAAAAAAAAAAAACCUAGCAUGUGAAUUCAAAUUUGUGGUUUGUAGUUUGUGCACAAGUCCCGGUCGCCUGAAAGGAACAUAGAAAGGGUUCAGCAUACUAUAAUGUUGUAGACUUGACAAUUUGGUUCAUGAUAACAUAAUACCUACACGAAAUUAGAUGAUGAAUUUCAUGUCAAAUAUGAUUUUUUGUAUGUCGAUAUAUAAAAAUGAUAGAUAUAGAUAAUAUUUAGAAAAUAAUAUUAAAUAUUAUCAUAUAAAUAUUAUCUAUAACUUGAUUCAAUUGGAUUAAUUGAUAUGAUUUUUACAAUCAAGUUUCAGCAAACAAUAUUUAUAGUCAUGAUUACGUAUUUAUAAAGUGUCUUAUAUAUAUAUACAUUUUACACCUCUUUGUAAUACCCAUUUGUUAGUGGAUUAUGCAGCACUCCGUUCACUGUUAGUCAUCCCACCUUUACAAACAAUAGCACCCAGAAAUUAUCAUUCUCCAUAAAAUUAAAACAAAAAGUUGCUUAUUGUCAAAAAAAAAAAAAGUUGUUUUGACAAUAAUUCCCUUUUUAUCUUAUUUAAUUAUUAUUAUAGGAGAUUCAAGUUGUCUUGAAAAGCUUAUGAGCUGCCACAUAAUUUCUAAAAAAAGGGAAGUUUAAAACUUGAUUCGAUUAAAAAAUAAUAUAAAUUAGACUCCAGUCAAAAACAACGAGAGGUUUGUUUCCAACACAGGUUACAUUUUCUUUCUCCUGAGGUGUAAUAAUACAAAACUAAAUUAUAUUACAAAGAUACAAGCACUUUUACAAAUUCAAAUCAUAGCUUGGUUUUGUUAAAGAAACCAAGGUAAGAAAACCAAGGAGACAAAGAGAAACCUACAUAGAAAGGGUAUCCGCUAAAUAGUGAGAAAAACAAUAGAAACCUAACAAUCAGGGGGGUUUUUGAUGAUAAGCAAGAAAUGAUUUAGCUAGCCAAGUGGUUGGGACAGCUCUCGAACAUGGAGUGCCACAUAUAUGCUCUCGAAAGUACCACCUCAAGCUCCAUAUAAGUCCAGUUUUGGGUUGGGAGGUGUUGAAGGAACAUUACCAUCUCUUGGAAAUCAAGCUGGAGGAGCUUAUCCGACCACUGGAAGUUGAGAGACAAAAACAUAAAUAUAAACAUAAGACCCAAAACUGUUCACAAAAUUGUGAUGGGCUAUAUCUUAAUAGUACAGAAUUGUUGCUAACUCUUAUUAAACAGAAGUCACAGUUCUAUUCACGCGUCCACAACAUCACUAGAGAUGUCUAUAAAACACUUCCAUAUAAGUUAUUUAAUCUUAGACUAGUCGAGCAAUUAAUAAUUUACUUACCGUUAACAAAAAACUGGCGAAUAUAUAUACUAGGAAAUCUGGCAAUGCAUCUCCUUCAGCAAGAUAUGUGUCCCACAAGCGGUUAAUAAGAUGGAAAGGAAUCUAGGAAAAGAAAGUAACAUGUUUGUUAGUCAUUUCAUUAUACUACAAAUCCACAGAGCAUUAAAAGAUGUAUUCAUCUAGUCUUUAAACUAUCAUAUUUGUAUUCAACAUACUAUGCUUAACAUGUUACUUCUCUUUUCUGCUAAAUCCUUAACAUAUCACUUCGUUGCACCUAUCACUUCAAAGCCAUAACUUUGUAAUCUAAUGACUUUCCUGAGAUUACCCCAGGAAUUUAGGAUACUCAUCUGAGGGAAGUAGGCAACGGAUUUGAACGAAAACGUACAUGUUCUUAUUAUACGGUAUUAUGUUGUCUAAUUUGUUUCCAUCUUUGCUACCUUUUAAACAUCACAAUAUACAUGCAUUUUACUACACAGUCGUUUCAUUUGAUUACCCCCCAGGAACAUUAUUUUAUAUACAUAUACGUACACACACUAGCUUAUAGCCCAUGCGACGCACAAGUGACUUGUAGUAUUUGUUUUUUAAUGUAUAUGUUUUAAUAUUUAAUUUGGUUUCGAAGACAUAUUUAUGUUAGAGAAAUAUACGUAUUUUAAUCAAAAUAGGUUUUCAAAUAGAUGAUUUGAGUUUAUAUAUUUUUAUUUGACAUGCUAAAUGAGUUUUUAAUAACUAAGCUCGCCAAAAAAUAUACAAAUAAAAAGGCCCAAGAGAUAUCUUUUAACGUGAUGUUCUGGUGUGUUUUAGUUGUAAUAAAAAAGACCAAUUAAAACAUGUCAUAAAAUAGAAAGGCCCAUAAACCAACUGACCGACCAAAACUUUCAAUAUUUCGGUUUUAACAGAACAGUAUAGUAUAGUGUGUGUGUGUGUGUGUUUAUAUGUAUAUAUAUUCUGCAUUUGUUACCUGAUCUUUUAGUUAAUAAGAAGGCUUAUUUUAAAAAUAUACGAAUUAAAAGGUUUUAUGUACAACAAAAUAGUAUUUCAUGGUUUUACACACAACAAAGUAAUAUGCCGAGAAUAUAUCAUCAGACAUACAAAAUUUUAAAUUUAAAACAUAAUUAGAAGAAAUAAUCUCUUAAGCCAAAAAAAUAUUGAAUCCAUUCAGGCUGUUAGAUUAUACUUGUGCCAUCCGAUCCGAAGCACAACAAGUAGUAAUGCAAACUCUAAGAAAAACUGCAUAGUGAAGACUGACUACCAUAUUAGUACUCUUCAAGUUCAGAAUUUUUCCUAAAUUUUUUCUAUACAAAAUUAUCAUAAAUUGGUAACCAUCAUCUUUAAUUUCAAUUGGUCGGCACAAAGACUAUUAUGUAUCGAAUCAUUUGGCCGAGAAGUGGACACUUGCCAAUUAGAAGACCAUAUAUGAGUUUAACUUAAGAUGACAAACUAAAAAAGAAGAAAAAAAGUCACCUCAUUUGCAAAGUAAUUUACAAAAUCAUUAAGAGUAUAGUAUAAUUGUUAAAUAUUGCUACGAAUUUUCAUCCUAUAUACUUUUUUGAAUACGGUGCGUAAAUAUCAGAUAUCACAAGUCACGCACUCAGACAUGUCUCAGUGUUUAACACUGUACACCCAAGUUGGUGACAUAGUUGAUGGUGCUAUGUUCAGAAUAUGUAAAACUUUAAUACCUUAUGAUGCUUACAAGGAUCUAUCCAACGACAAUCCACUAUAUGCUUUGAUCUCGUCCUACAUUUUUGCCAAUAAAAUAAUCCCAUGAACUAGAAUUGAUUUAAUGUAUCUCCUGGAGGAUUAUCAUUAUACUACAGAGAGGGUGUGGUUAAAACAAUACCCUAAAUUGAGAUAAAAAGUGAUAAUGAAAAAAAUGGCUUGCAUGAUUAAUUUACAGGAUCAAGUAUGGGAAAAUGAGAAGCAUAUAGAAGUCCUCAAUUUCUAAUCCUUAUAAGCCAACUUAGCCUGUGUUAUAUUUAUCAUAAGGAAGGAGUAACAAAAAAAAUAUCAAGAAGUAAUACAUAAUUUGGGAAAUUGGGAAAAAGGAGACGAACCUCACGUAUCAGAAGACAAUUGAACCAGCGGAAAGCAAAUUGAAGAAAUUCAAGACCUUGCUCCUCCAUGUGUCUUGAAACAGGCUCUGUCAAAAAAUUAUAAGCAAUUCAUUCAUCAUCAAUAAGCUAGUUCUAAAUAUGAUGGGAGAUCGUGAAUUAAAAGAAAUCUAUAUAUAUGAAUUCUAAGAACAUAAAAACUAUCAACAUGCAGAAUCAAGAACAGAUCAAAGGAAAAAGACUUGAAAAAAUAUAAUAUAUAAUAUCAAUUUUCUAUACCAUGUAAACUGGCAAAAGUAAGCAGACUACGCAUAAUCAUUCGGCACAUGCAAAUUAGAGUCUGCAAUGUAUGGAUCCUCUUACCACUUCAGUUACGUACUAAAGGGGCUUGCUACAACAGAGAGAUUCCUCACUAGCAUACAGAAACUAUCCUUUAAUGUAAACACACCAUGCCAAAUUGAUCAGAAAUUCACCAAAAAGAACCCCCCCCCCCCCCCCCCCCCCCCCCCCCCCCCCCAACCAACCCAACAAAUUAACGCACCUUAGGGUCCUCCAGCGAUCACCACAAUUAAAGGUACGAAAAUUUAAAAACAAAAAUUAAAAUCUAAAUGAUGUGCCCUAAGUGUAAAAAUGCAUGAUGCAACACAUAUUUAAUUCUAACUACUAUUUUUGGAUUUUAAAUUUUUAAUCGUUUUUAUGAUUUUCAAUUUUUAAAUUUGUUUGUGANNNNNNNNNNNNNNNNNNNNNNNNNNNNNNNNNNNNNNNNNNNNNNNNNNNNNNNNNNNNNNNNNNNNNNNNNNNNNNNNNNNNNNNNNNNNNNNNNNNNNNNNNNNNNNNNNNNNNNNNNNNNNNNNNNNNNNNNNNNNNNNNNNNNNNNNNNNNNNNNNNNNNNNNNNNNNNNNNNNNNNNNNNNNNNNNNNNNNNNNNNNNNNNNNNNNNNNNNNNNNNNNNNNNNNNNNNNNNNNNNNNNNNNNNNNNNNNNNNNNNNNNNNNNNNNNNNNNNNNNNNNNNNNNNNNNNNNNNNNNNNNNNNNNNNNNNNNNNNNNNNNNNNNNNNNNNNNNNNNNNNNNNNNNNNNNNNNNNNNNNNNNNNNNNNCCCCCCCCCCCCCCCCCCAAGGUCAAUCCAAUACCAAUUUAAACAGUUCAGUGAUGGAUCCAUUAAUUUAAUGGUGUCUAAUUUCGGAUAGGGCUUAUUUUGGUUAAUUACUAGAAAAUUUCUCACUUUCCCCUCUAGAAUCCCAUUGUUCCUUCUUCAUCUACAAUUAGUAGCUUAACUUAUUCCUUUAAUCUUUGCAACUUUAAAUACUCUUUCAUGUAAUUUUAUUUAUAAAUGCAUACACAUUUUCAUAUACAUGGCAAUAAUGCUGAGCUAUAAUAUAGACACAUACACGUUUUAUAUACAUGGCAUAAAUGUAGAGCUAUUAUAUAGACACUUCGAAAUCUCAAACAUCUACCAAAAACCUUGAUAUACAUGUUGAUGUAUAUUUCAAGAAUUUCACCAAGAACAUCAGAUUCUGCAGAAAACUCUUUGACAGUAGACGUCCAAAUACAAAAUCUGUUUGACUGGCAUGUGUAACAACAGAAUAGGCGCAAAAGCCUAAUGCUUUCAUAUUUGUCUUAGGUUAAAAAGUUCAGUGUCCAAUAGUUACAUACUUACAAAUAAUUUGGCUGAGAACAUCAUAUCCGAUUCGGGUCAAGUUUCUACUUGCAGGCUUUAGAGUUGGUUAGAACUACAUAUUUUGAAAUCUCUUCUGUUUUCACUAGAGCCCUUCUUUUUAUUAGGUUCAUUUUGUGCUUACACACUUGGCUACCCUCUUCCGAAAGCUCAGCUCAAGCUACCACUAGUCUUUGGCCCGCACCACCCAGGAUACGAGCCACCCGAGAAGAAAGCUAUUACAGCGAGCGGCUGCAGCAGUACCAGACCCAAAUCAAAGUGAUAACAGAUUAUUGGAAUUUCAUUCCAACCAAAUUCUUGAGGGCUUCCGAAUUAAUUUUUUUCCCAAUUUUAGUAUCCUGUCAUUUUCUUUCGUUGAAUGCAAACAUCAUGAAUUAGGAUUGGGGGGGGUCACUUUGUAUGCAGAGUGUUCUUUCUUUUCUGUCUCUCCUCUUUUACAACUCUGUAACUACUUCUAAGUCCAAGAUAUUGCACCUUAAAUUUCCAUCUUCUAAAUUGCCAAUCCUUUUUUCUGUUUUGUUAAUGGAUGAGCCUUACAAAAUCACCUCUCUCUUGAUAAAAGUGAGCCUGUCCAUUACUCCCUCCGUCCCAGCCAUUUGUAUACAAAUGGUUGGGACACGGAGACCAAGAAUUGUGUAUAAAAUGAGUAAAGUUAGAUGAAAAGUGGGUAUAGUGGUGGGACCCAUUUAUAUUUAAUAAUAGAUUUGAGAUAGUGGAGGAAAGUAGUGGGUGUAAUAGUGUUUAUAUUAUUAUAGAAUGGAGAUAGUGGAAGCAAGUAGUUGGUGUAAUGAUAUUUUAUAUUAUAAAAGUUUACUACUUUUGGAAUGUAUACAAUUGGUGGGACGUCCCAAAAGGGAAACUGUAUACAAUUCAUUGGGACGGAGGGAGUAUUAUAAUAAAUAACCUCUUUAAAAAACCAAAAAUGUGAAAAUACUGUUUUGCAACAACAAUUUAAUAAUGUAUAUAGUUAAUAUAUGUUAAGGUACUGAAUCAGGCAAGUUAUAGUUAAAAUAAUUACAAAGGGGAGGGGCAAGAAAAAAACACAUACCAUCAAUGCGUCUAACCAACUCCUUUAGCUUAAAAACUAGUCUCUGAAUUCCCGGUUGAGCAAAAGUGUAAUGAUCUUGCAUGCCCUCAAGCAACUUUGAUAGGCACCAAUAGCAAUCAGCUUCAAUAUUAGAUAUAUCUUCUACAGAUAGAUUGAGCAUUGACCACUUAUCCAAACUCUCUUCUAAGUGCUCCGACAAGAAAACAACUAGAAAAGGGGUAAGAAGAUCAUUUAUUCCCUGAACAUAUCCGCUUGCAGGAUGCCGAAUUGCCCUGUGUAGGAAAGAAACCACAUAAACAAUUAAUUUAAGAAACAGAAAAAGGAUGUUUCGGACAUGACAACAUUGUUCUGAGAGUACAUAUUACACAUCUUUCUUUCAAGAGAGUAAGAAUCAUGUUUGUAGUGUAUGUAUAAUACACUAUUUAUGACUAUCGUGUCCUUGUUAAGCAUCACACUAUGCAGGACAACAAUGGAAAAGAAUGGAAAAACAAAAGUAAGAAAGAUUUGGUGGAUUUACAGUAGAAAACCCACAAAUCCUAAGGUAAUCCGUGAUUCAACCUCAUAAGAACUAUUACACCUAGGGUCUCUAAGCGCAAUACUAGGAUAUCUAAACCGUAGAAGGGAUGAAUUGGAAUCCGUAACAAGAGAGCAAUCGCAGUUCAAUAUCUUCCAAAAUAAAAGAUCACAUCUGUUAUAUAGAAGUGAAACCCCCAAACUUAACCCCACAAAAAAAAUGUAAAAAUAAUUAUAGUAAAGCAAACGAAUCUUUUACUGACAGGGUAUAUAUUUAUAUACAUGUACAUACAUAUAUAUAUAUAUAUAUAUAGGCUCAUGAUCAAAUAGAAACCACUUUUAAAAUAAAAACUAGAAACCAAUACAAGUUAGUGAUAUUCUCAGUACAAUUUAGUGAUAUUCUCUUUACGAUUUAGUGAUAUGUGUUGCACGAAUUAGUGAAAACUUGCAGAAACUGCCCAGAAUUUCUGAAUCUGUUCUAGUUGCCGAUUCAGGUGGUGGUUGCGGUGGUGGAGAUAAUGGAGGUGAAGGUGGAGAUGGAGGUGGUGGACAUGGAAGGAGCCUUUAGCUUUGUCCGGCAGAUUUUUGGCAAAGAUCUGGAAUUUAAAUCGGCAUUAAGCUAGAUAUACGGUACUGUAGGUGAGGAAGACCGAGGUGGAGGUGAGGACGAAGGUGCAGGUGCUGGUGGAGGUGGGGGUGGAAUGGAAGGGGCGGUGGAGGCCGGAGGGGGGUUGGAUUUGGUGGUGAUAUAAAUAAUGGAGGCCGACAUGGAGGUGGUGGCUAUGGAGGGUCGGGCAGCAUGGAGGUGGAGAGAGUAGCAAAGACUUGGCGGGGGUGGUAGGGUGAAGCUGCCGGAAGUGGGGUGGAGGGUUGGUGGGUUGGAGAAGAAGAAGGAGAAAGUGGGGUUGUUUAAGAAUUUAGUGAUAUUCUCUUAAAAAUUUAGUGAUAGUUUCUAGUUUCUAGAAUAAGGAGGUUUCUAUUGGAGUAAAACUCUAUAUAUAUAUAUAUAUAUAUAUAUAAUUUUAUUCUCAUAUUUAUAAUACUUUGUAUUAAUCAGAUUAUUUAAUUAGAGUUUAAUGUUUAUAGCCACUGAUAUGCAAAUCUGAAGUUUGGAAGAAAUUGAGCAAUUGGGGCUUAAUUUCGACUUUUUUUGACAAACAAAUGAUUUUAUUAAGACGAAACGCUUAACAAGACAGAUAUUGAAACCCUGCUGGGACAAAUCCCCGAACUGUCAACUACAAUCUGAUUGUGAAACAAAGAACGAACUGAACAAAUAAUCGUUCUGUUUUCAGAUCACUUAACACCUAGAAUAUUCAUAUUCUCUGAUCUAAAAAGUAUUACAAUGAUAUCUCGAGCAAUCCAACCUACAUCAGUUAUGAAACUAGUAGCUUCGCAAUUGACCUUCACAUAAGCAUCAUCUAUAGCUCAAUGUUCAGAACUAUCAGUCAAAUCAACUGAUCCUGGAGCACCAAAUGUCCCCAAAACAUGAACAAUUUUUUGUUGUGAAAGGUAAGCUCUUGCGGUAUCCACCAUCGUCUCAAAAUCGAUGCGAGUCUUACAGAUUUCCCAAAAUACCGUAUAGAUCCUUUUCAGAAUGAUAACCGAAAGACAUACCAAGACACAUAAGAAUAACAAAAUAGAACAGAUUGACAUCACAAGAAGAUGGGCACACACCGACAUCCCAAAAAUAUGGGCACAACUAACAACCUUGAUAACAAGGUACUCAACAAGAUCUAAUCCAAACAGAUUAGAUCUGGGUUUUAUUGAAAAACUGGUAAAAUAAUAGAGGGGAUAAGAGAGCGAAGAGGUUAAUUGGUGAGGGAGAUGAAGAUCUCGAAGGCGGAGAAGUGACGGCCGAAACCAUGAUAAGGGAGUCGACUCUCAAAACAAGGGAGGAUAGAAUUGUGCAAAUUUAAAAGAUAAGAUGACUUAAUUUCGACUUAAUUAAGAGGAACUUCGGAUUUACUGGACAGCUCAUGAUCUAGCAUCAUUGUUUGGGCCAUAGUUGGAGCUCUAAAUCUAUCAUAAUUAAGCAAUUUUACAGCCCACUCUAAGAUAAUGGAAUUAUCUUCAAUUCUAAGGUGGUCCAACAUAAAAAAUCCAACCGGAGCAGCCCUAGGUUUUUUAAAUGUAAUAAUACUUGUUGACUAGUAGCCAACUAAAGCGCCGUGAUAACCAUGCCAUAAAGUUUCAUCAAAUUUUUGACUAGCUUCAACAUACCGACUAUUGCCAUUUUAUUAAAGUACAUCGGUCCAUCUUGGGUCCAUAGUUCCACAAUUACAGUAUUGGGUAUAUGAGAUUCAAAACAAUCAACCUAUAUAGUUAAAGUUCAAUAUAGUUGUUUUGUUGAACCUUAUUUAUUCUCAAUAGAGUCCCAAACAUGUAUAUUCACGAGUUCUACACAAUAAAAUAAGUUAUUAAUUUGGAUGUACGCAACAACGAACUCAACUAAAAAUAUAGCAAAAUAUAUAGAAAGAUUAUUUUCUAACCAUGUGUAAAGUAUCCUCUCCAACGAUUUUUGAACUUCUGCUUGUUGAAAAAAAGCAACAUCGGGUACAGUUCUAGGGCAAUCAACAGAAAUCUAAGAAAGAAGUUAAAAGAUGAUAAUUUUUAAAUGAGGCUCAGAAAGAUAUAGGCAGAAAAUGUAAGUAUACCAGUCCACAUCUAUAUUACCUGACGGAGCAUGUUAAUUUCUUCAUCGGUACGUUCAUUAUCUGAAACAUCAUAAUAUCGUGCAACACAAUCAAGAUAUUCGAGCCGCUUUCUUCUCAAAACACCCUCCCUUCUAUCUGAAUUAGGGGGUGCAUAUCCCUGUUGUCAGUUCUUAUUUAAUUAAAAAGUCGCAUCAGGAUUAUGCUUAUAAGUGUACAUCUACAAAAAAUAAGCUGCCUAUUGAAGAAGAAUUUAUUUUUCAGCUCACACUACUUCAAAUUUUAAUUUCAAACUUUCAAGUAUACCAUUCUUCUAAGUAGUUGUCAUCUUUCACAUUUUCAUGGCAAACCAAGACUACAGGGGUUGAAGUCCCCUGACAUGCAAAAGAAUCAGAAAGAUCGACAAAACAAGAUGUGAAAGCAACACAUUGCUACUGUUUGGAAUAUAUUUGAUAAUUAAGAUUAGAGGUGAAAUAGGAAAUUUACCAAAAGAAGCCUCCAUACAGAGGGACGUAGAUAUGGUGGGACACCACUCCACGCCAACUCCCGCAACUUAUCUGUACAAGAAACAUGAGCAGGAAGGAGAAAUAUAAUUAAUCCCCAUUAAGAAAUGGCAAAAUGACACUUUAUUAAGCAGCUGGCCCAAAGCAUAAACUCAAUACAAGAGAGACAUGGACAUGCCGAGGACAUAGGGAACUGUCUCUGCAGUUUAGGUGCUACUCUACAGUCUGUAAUCUAUCACUGUGCAACCCACAAAUGGAUAACGUAUGGCAUUCAAUCCAAGUAACAAACUGUCUGCAAAUAAAAACUCAUAAAGAUUUUGAGCUCUUCCAUGGGUUAAAGGUUAAAACUUACAAUAGACAAUUAUUUCAUUCAGACUAGCAAAAUAACUCAUAAACUAUCACCAAACACAACUCUGCAAAGCUUUACGACAUCAUCACAUCACAUAAGUCACUUGUACAUAUAUAAUUUUUACAUGUAUGCUAUGUUACCCCGACUCUUCAUUUUGUCUGAAGUACCCGUGUCGAACACUUGACACUCGGACAUGGGUAUGAACACUCCGACACUUAUUUUAGGCCAAAAACAUGUAAAAUUUUCAGAAUAUUGCCGAGUCCGACACUCGGACACGUAUCCAUGUUGGACACUUUUAGCCGAGUCCAGGUAACAUAGCAUGUAUACAUAACUUACUAUACAAACUCAUAGAGCUUAUUACGAUAGUGUGAGCAAUAAAUACCCAAGAUGACUGCUGGUGCAGAUAACUCUUUAUUAAACUUCAUUAUCCUGGCUGAAUCAGUAGCUCUGGCACCCAUUGUGGACUUCUGCACCUCUUUGGUUGUACCCUCAUUAGUUGAAGUUGAAGUUUUUAAUUUGCUAUUAUCUGAAUCGGUGUUUGUCUUGCUUCCAGAACGAGCUUCUCUCUACAUUUUACAGUUAUGGAGAAGUAAAACAAAAAUGAUAAGACAUAGAUCUUAAAAACACAAACAAUCAUAUAUAAAUCUGUAUCAGCUUCUAUAUAACAGAAGAAUCAUUAUCAACAUUACCUCGACGAAAUCAUCCAUGUUAUAACUUGGUCCACUAUUAGUAUCUGAAGGACUCCUAAUGCCUGGGGACGGCAAAGUUGGGUAAUCAAUUGGAUCUGUUCUCCUUGUUAUUAAAACUUUUCCGGGAAAGCUGCGGCCUUUAAGCAACCUAUACCAACAUUAAAAUGUAAAGAAAUACAAAAUUUAUAUAAGGUCAGCGGACGGACAUGAUUGAUUCAACCUGAUUAUAAGGCAUUCGUGACAAUCUAAGUUCCACUUAACUAAUGUGUAAUGGAAAACUAAACAACCACAAGUUGAAUAGUCCUAUGCUUUAUAGUACUUGAUAAGUAGGUAGGUUCAAGUUUUACAAUCACUGGUAUACGAUUGCAAUGUGAUACUCCCUUCCCCCUCAAUUUUCAAUGAAGUAAUUAACAGAUAACUGCGAAGCAAAUGUAGUAUGUAAUCCGCAAGUCCAACAAAAGUGAAAAAAGACUCUAACGAUCAUUUUCAGAGAUCAUAAUAGCACACCAAUUAAGAACAUAUAAUUGCAUAGCAUAAUUUAAAAAAAGGCAUAAACACAUACAUAGUAGCAGAAAAACAUAAUCAAGUAGACAAUUAAUCAAACAGUCAGUGUGCAAGCAGCUGAAAGAUCCACAAUCAGAUCAAAAAAUAAAACCCUAGAAAUCAAAGAUCAGCAAGUUUUACCCAAAUGGGUAGUCAAAUCUAAUCUAAUAAAGCUUAUCAAACAAAUUACCCUUGAACAUUUCGAAGAGUUUGGUUGAAUCUUGAAUCGAUACUCGAAAGUGGAGAAGUUGGAAUUGCGGAAUGAUUAAGAUUAAGAUCUUCUUCUUCUGCUUUUUUGUUCAUGAUGCCGCUGUGAUUUUCAUGGUGUUAUGUUCGUUUCUCCUUCAUUUGUACACGCCGUGUCUACUAUCACCCCCACUACAAUUCUUACUUUCGGAGAAUUUUACAAUUUUUUCCCCUUCAUGAUCUUUUUAACUUUUUGUAAGAAUAAGUUUAUUCUAAAAAAAAUUAUAAACAUACAGUAUUAUGGGUCGUUCGGUCAUGCUUAAAAUAAGUGAAUUUUUGCUUAAAAUAAAAAAGUUGCUUAGAAAUGAGAAGUUGGUUUUUUAAAUGUUUGGAUAACUUAUACGUUGGUAUAGUUUCGUAAAAUAUGAUAAUUUGUUUCCUAUAAUAAAUAGAUUAUGAUAAUAUAAGACCUUUUAUUAUUAAUACAUGAAAUAUUUUACAAAUACAAAUUUUUAAACUCUGCAUUAAAAGAAAAAAUUGAUAACUGUAGAUAAUACAAGUAAAAAGGUACAUCAUUUAUUUAAUACUAGCUGCAAUUUCAUCACGUUUUGCAUCCAAAUUUCAUCGUUAUUGCCUUCUCUGUCGGAUUCUCCACAGUAAAUAUUGGUGCUUGAAGUUGAAUUUUUCGCCAUACAAGCUUCUUUUUCAACAGUUUGAAAAGCGUUAUCUCCAACUAGGGCUGUCAAAAAAAUCCGAAUCUGUCCGAAAAAUCCGCCACCGUAUCCGAGAAAAAGCGAAUAUUUUUCGUAUCCGAGAAAAAACGGAUAUUAUUUGUAUCCGAAUCCGUGAUAUUCGAAUCCGAAACUAAAUACAUAUUUGAUAUUUAAAUUAUAUAAUAUAUAAUUAUACGUAAUUAAAAUUUUAUGCUAUUAGCUUGUAGUGUGUGUAUAUGCAUUAAAUAAUACAUUUAUACAAACUUUAUAUAAUUAUACAAAUACUAAAAUACUUUAUACAUAUAUAAAAUAAUCAUUUGAGCUUAGUUAUAAAAAAAAUUGUUCGAAAAUCAUCGUCGAUACGGUAUGACCAUCAAAAAUAUCCGACACCCGUCCGAAAUAUCCGCACCCGUAUCCGGGAAAAAGCGGAUAUUAUCCGUAUCCGAAUUAUCCGUUUGACAGCCCUAUCUCCAACAUUUGAUUUCUUAAUAUAACUAUGAACCGUCGUUGUAGCCAAAACGAUAUUUGUUUGCGUAGUUAUUGUAUACAUUGCCAUAUUUGCUAAAAUAGCAAUUAAUCUAGCUUUCCACACUCUAAAUGUCCGCUCGAUAACCAUUCUACACGAUUAAUGUAAAUGAUUAUAUCUUUUGUUUGCAUUUUGCGGUUCACGUGUGGUACCCUUAGCUCAACGAAAAUCUUGUAAAUGAUAUCUUAUUUUUUGAACCCUUUUAUAGAGUCAUAUAUCCUUCUUUACGUGCAUAACCUGCAUCAACAAGAUAAUAUUCAUUUCCGAUUGGAUGUGGAAAAUUAAGUUCAGGAUUAAUUCUAGCCUCGUUCAAAAUACGACUAUCAUGUGCUCUGUCUUCCCAACGCGCUCAUGCAGUAAAACACAAGUUAAAUUCGCAUACGGCAAGAAUAUUUUGAGUGACAUAUCUUUUGCGACUAAAAUAUAAUGUGCGUUCUGAUUCCGGUACGCAAGACAUUUAAUAUGUGUUCCAUCAAUAGCUCUGAUGGCAUCUUGUACUUAGUACAAAUAUAUUAAAAAUAACAUAAAUUAAUGGGUUCAUUUUCAACUAAAUUAAAAUAUCACUAUAAUUAUUACUAUGAAAUGUGGAUAAUAUUUACUUUGUUGAGGUUUAUGAAACUUCGAUCUAUCGUUAUAGUUUGAAGUCGGUGUUAUGUAAUCCCUUGCCAUUCGACGCAGUGCUUCCAAAACAAUAUGAAAAUGGCGGCUAAUUGUCCCUCCAGAAUGGUUGAACGUCUCUUGCAUUACAGCAUUACACGAUUACUUGUCCCGUGAGUAAUGGUCAUUAGGAACAUAUUGACUGCCUCGUAUUGUGACAUCCCACGAAACAAAUAAAACACUAUUCAUUCGAAAAUCUCAAUAACACCGGUUAUCAUUUCCCUCCAUAAUUUCCUAAAUUAAUAUUGAUCUGGUGCGAAUUGAAGUAUGACAUGGCUCUUUCUUUAAGAACGUGUCAUAGUAAUACACCAAAGUAUAGACAGCGGUUGUACUUACAGUUUUCCAUUCACGUAGAUUUUGUUCACUUUCUUCAUCUUCUUCGUCUUCUUCUUCAUCUUCUUCUUCAUCAGCCAUGUGUUGGUUGUUUGUGUUGGGGUACUGGCCUUCAAAAAGAUUAGAAGACUGACAAAAUUGGUUGUUUGCGUUGGGGUACUGACCUUCAAAAGGAUUGGAAGACUGACCAAAUUGGUUGUUUGUGUUGGGGUACUUACCUUAUAAAGGAUUGGAAGACUGACCAAAAGGAUUGAAGCUACCAGAAGAAUGAUUUGCUUCAUUAGAAUACCGAUCAAAUUGAUAAUUUGGGUGCAUUGAAAGGAUUAUGGCAACUAGAGAAUUACCCAAACUGAUUAUUUGGAUUGAAAUGAUCCAUUUGUUUGAAAUAAAAGCACAGAUGCAUUUGUAAUAUGUAUACACGGAUGCAAUGUUAAUGUUGUUAACAUGUGAAGGAAUCUAACUGUUGACAUGUGAAUAAAAGAAAAUAAUUCAUAACAAGUUAGAAAUCCACAGUACAAAGGAAACAGUACAAAGGCAAAUAAUUCCUCACUAGAAGUUCAAUGACAAAUCUUAUCCUGACAAUUCUUGUCUAGGCAAAUCUCUAAAUUACAAAUUUAAAGAUACACCGGAACACAAGCACCUAUCCAUGGACCACUAAAUUUUUUAAACGCAAACAGAAUCUAUUCAUACCGGACUUGGUUGUUCGGUGCUUUCAAGAGAAAAACCUCGAUUGUUCUUGUUAGCCAGAAAUUUUUGCCCUGCAAAAUUAUAUAACUCACUGCCAGGAACAACUUGUUCCAUACUAUUCAGUAUGUCAAAUACUGCAUUCGAGGCGGUAUCUUCAUUAGCUGCCUUCAUUUGUGCAACAAUUGUUUGUGUGCUCCUCGAUGACAUAGUAGAAAAGAUUCAAAAUUGAAUAAGACCAAUCUGAAUCACAUCUCAAUCCAAUAUUCCAAUCACAAAACACUAACCAUAUCAGGAACACAAAUAAAAAGAAAUGAAAUAUAAUUGAAUUCUAAUCAGCAAAUUCACAUAAAUUAAAAGGUACAAAACUUGACUUGUCACAAUUAAAUGGCAAUCUGCAUGUCACAAACACAUUUGUAGAAGGAACCUAGGAGUAAAUGCAAAUAUAGACCAUCAUACAGGCACUUACAACAGAUUGCUAGUAUAUAGAGAUCGAAUCAAUAAACAUAUCUAGAAUUGAAGUUAUUUACAUAUAUAUGUCAGAAAUUCAUUACCCUUGACGGAUGAGAAGGAGAGAUGCAGGUUUAAAAUCGAUUACCACAAGUGAUUUGUUAAUUAAAGAGUAGCUACGAGAAGUAGAGAGGUGGGAGAAUAGCGCCGCUGAAAGAGAGAUCCGCGAGUUCGUUUUCUGUUAGAAAGAAGCUGAAGCUGAGUCCCAAAAAAAAGCUAGGUUUCGUAGCUUUUUUUUCUGGGCUUCUUUUGGUUUAAUUAAGCGCUUCAGAACAUUUGCCAAACGGACGUAUAAAAAAAAGAGGAAGUGGGCUUCUACACAGUUAAGCCCAGAAGUUAUAUUCCCAAACACCCACUAUUAUUUGAUAACUUUUUUCCAAAUUUACAAUGCCGCAAUCAAAAUCAAAAACUAACAUAAUCGAUAACAAAUUCAAUUUUUUUUCGAAAAAAUUACGCUUGACUGUAUUUGGUUGCAAAUCGUAUAAACAAUUGUGUUCAGUUAUUUUUAAAUACAUGCAACAUUUUAUCAAAUAUUUUUAAAAUAUAGUAUGAUAAGAAAAAAAAUUAAAAAAUAAAACUAUCAAAUUUUUUGUAAAUUCCAUCAUUAUUUAAUAUAUUUACUCAACGUGUUGGAUCUAUUAGAAUGUUUGAUGGUUCUUUCUAUGAAAGAUGAAAUCAUGUGCAAUGAAUUUGUAUUGGCUACCUUUAAUGAUAGUCGACAAUUCAUAGAAUAUAUAUUGGAUUCAUCGGAUGAGUCUAUUGAGCAUGGGAUUUACGAAACUCCAUUGCACAAUCGGUGACCUAUUUAGGUGCCAAGAUGAUUUCACUUGCAAGUACAUUAACUCAAGGAGGCUCAUUGAGUGUGAGGGAAACACCAACGGAAUUUGUUACUUAUAACCCUACAUCUAAACCAAGAAAUUCGAGUGAAUUGAGUGCACACCUACAGAAUCCACCUUAUAACCAAAACCCCUACACCUGAAUUAGUUUCAAUUAUAUCACUUGCUAAAUUUGAUGCUAUGCAAUUCAAAGUAUCACAUCUUCAACAGAAAAUGUAGCACUGAAAGUAGAGGUUUCUGAACUCAUGGAGAAUGGAAGAUCUUUGGAGUUAAGGUUGAUCAUCCUAGAAGCUAAAUAUAUUGCUCAAAUGUCUUCUCAAUCAACUUCUCAACAUUGUCAGUAAGGUUACUCAACUAAGGAAGAGAAAGAGAGAUAAGAAAAGGCUCUAGUGAUUGAUAAAAGGAAGGGUAAGCUGGUAGAAGAAGAUACGUUCACAACUGGUGGAGCUGAAUAUGAUUAUGCUACUCAUGAAGAGUAUAUACAAUCUUUUGUCGAACCUGGUGAGGUGAUCAAGAGUGAUCAGGACAAAUGCCACAUGUUAAUAAGAUCUGUGGGGAUGAAUUUGUCUUUCACGAUGACUGUCUGUCAAUGGAUGAAAGAGUGAUUGAUGAUCUAGUGGAAGCAAUUGAUUUUAAAGCUAAAUUUGCUGAAACUAUAAAAUUAAAGAAGUAUUUGACGAGAAAGGGGAGAAGAUGCGACGAAUAAACUGGGAGACGAACGAGACAAAGCAAGGGACUUGUUCAAAUUAUCGGAAAUGGAGGAUGUAAACAAUGAUGCAAGGGUGAACGAUAUCUUUGAAAUAUUUAGGAUGACUCACGAGAAUAUAGAUCACCAUGAAGUGUUAAAUGAUAUCGUAACAUUUGUUAGCAUUGGAGUGCUUAAAAGACACAAUUGGUUGGUAAAUAUGACAUUUGAAAUAAAAGGUCAAAGCCACAGAUUUAGACAUGACACAUGCAAGCUACUUAAAAUUUGUUUCCCACUGAACUCUUUGUAUUAAAGAACAAGAUAAAUUCUGCUAGAAAGAAAUUCAAUGAAGUAUUCAGAUAUAUGGUAGAGAAAUGGGUCGACGAUAUCGGUAUUAAAGUACAUAACAGUCCUCACGUGAUCAAAUACUUCAAGGAUGGGAUAAUUCAGAACAUUAGCAUGAAAGAUGAAAGUCUAUCUAGCUGUAGUCCAAACAUGACAUUUAGAAGGACAACAUAGAAUGAAAUGCUCAAACUCAAAGUAAGGAAGAAAUGCAAUUAAUUUUUAUUAUGCAUGUAAGUCAAACUAAGCGAGAAAUCAAAAUCUCAACAAUAUCAAUCGACAACAACCUUAUCCAUCGCCUCCGUUUGAUCCAUCCAAACCACAAGUAACUGAAGCUCCUGUUGUUUCAUUUAAAUUCAAUAAAAGUCACUUCAAGAAAGAAGAGAAGUUUGUACUCUAACCUUUAACCUUUCAUCUAAAGAUAUACUCAAAAGAUGAAAAGAAUCACAAGAGUAAAACUCUCGCACAUAAAAGAAGACAAACAUAUACUUCGAUUUUUACCGGCACUUCUCAAGUUAAAAGAAGACUAUUAAAAUUAUCCAUAAUACUUCAAAAAUUCAUAGUCAUUUAUCUAGGGUAUUCAGAACAAUUGAAGAUAUGACUUAAAGUUGUCUUUCGAGAAAUUGCGAAAAAUGAGGCAUAUUCCCUCGCUGGUGAAGUUAAAGCAAAGUUUGAAAAACAUACUUCCGAAAAUAUCUUAAAUGAAAUACCCAAGAAUUGAAACAUAUUUUCUUGGACUAAUUUUUAAUUAACAUUCUUACGUUUUAAACUAUUAAACACUUAGAAAGCAUCUUAAAUAAAAUGUCCCAUAAAAUAUAUUACUUUAAAACAUAUUUAUUAAAUAUUUAAAAUUUAAUUUAGUUCAAAAGUAUAUAUAUUAUACAUUUAAUAAAAUUUUAUCUUCAUAAUAAAUAUAUUAUAAAUCGCGAAUAUCAUAACUCAUCCGUUAUGUUAAACAAUAUAAACUAGGGUAUAUUAUAUGAUAAGGUAAUGUUUGGUGUUAUGUUGCAGAUACCAACAACUGUUUUUUUUUGCUGAAAAUAAGUUGAAAAACUGUUUGGUAAAUUUAAAAACAGUGUUUUAGAACAAUAUUUUUUAGCUAAACUAUCUUUAGAAAAAGCAGGUCAUCCCAUGCUUUUGAGCUUUUGCGGGAGCUGUUUACAGAUUUCACUAUCAAAUCUCAUUAAAAAUAUUAUUUUUAUAUAUCAUAACUCAAAUAAAUAAAUAUAAAAAAAUACCAAACAAUUAUUUGAUUUAUACAACAAUACUUAUUUUUGAGAAAUUUACUUUAUUUACAUUUUUUUCAUAAAACAAUAAUUUUUAACAUCACUCUGAAACAGAGCGAUGUAAAUCCCAGGUAAUAUAUUAAUGCAUUGAUGAUUUAUAGCAGCUAAUAUUUGGUAUUUCAAUCACAAUUUUAUAGUAGUAUAUUUAGAAAUUAGUUUAUUAAUUUAAAGGCAGCGAGGCUAAAAAUGACUUAGUACACGAGCAGGAUAAACCCUUCAAGCCUUCUCCCUCCAAGUGGGUGUACGAAGAUGAUGGGAACAGCUGCAGUUGCUACUGCACUCUUUUCGCCGUUGAUAUCUGAUAAGGUACACCACCAUUAAUGAAUUAAUCAGAUUUUAGUUUUGUUUUCUUGCUAAUUUUCUGUACCACCCAUUUUUUUAAUUUAAUUUUGAAUUUGCCCCUCUAUUAUGUUCAAGUAAUUUUUGAGCUUCAAGUUGUUCCAGAUAUAUAACAUUAGGCCCUUCUCCCACUGUUGGGUGUAAUAUAUAAUGCAAUAGUAUCCUUUUCAGGAAUUGUUUUUGCUUGGGUGGAAGAGAACAAACAAUGGGUUGUGUAUUUUCAAUGAUAAAAACAAUAAUCCCACCAAAAAAUUGUAAUAUCACCUUUUUUGAUGAAAAAUACUAUAAUCAGCUUUUACCCAGCUUGUAUAAGAAUUGUGAAGCAAAUCGUAUUGGAUGGUAUAUAUUAUUGGAUGAAUGAAAUUGGAAUAAACAUAUGAAAACAUUCGAAUGGUUUGGUGAGGGAAUAGAUUGGAGGCAUGAUCUCGAGUAAAAGUGUUAAUAGUAUGAUCAUCUUGGUAAAAAAAAGUAUUUCUCGCGAGUUUGACUGUCUACCACCCCCAACAAUUCUCAGAAUUUAUUAUGGGUAUGAAAGUCUACCCAUAUUCUGUGUUGCCGUAUCCGAGUCCGUGCUUCCUAGUUCUUAAACCUCCACGUAAAUCAAGUGAACUUGCAUGGAUUUUAAGAAGUCUGUUUGUUGUUCUUGUUGAGGUUGAAAGCUAAUUCGGGCACUACACUUAUUAUUAUACAACUUUUGCUCAGAGUAUCUUUAGUUCUUUACCAUAUUAUUUUUUCCCUACCAAUUACACAUUAAGGUUCUAUAAUUUUUUGAUUGUAUUAUAAAGCUCUUUCUGAUGAGUUUAUACAACUUAAUUGUUUUUCUAACAGAUUUUUAUCCUCAAGCAGAGUAAGAAUAUCGUAAUUCCUCGUAUGUAUCGUAGGAGAUCAUGCAUUCCUCUUCAGAUGAUUGAUAGAGCCCCAACAUUUCAAGAAAGGUACUACUAUUAUGAACAAAGCAUGUUGGUGAGCUUUGCAUUUCUAUUAGGAAAAAAAACUUACAAAACAGUGUUUCCUUCCUACUUUACAGUAGCAGUAUUUAAUGCAGUUGCACCUACGGAAGUAAACAGUAAACAAAAUAGAUAACUAUGAUUUUACCUUUACCUUUAAAUUAUUAUUUGAACAAACUUUUGUGGUAUUUGGGAACGUAAAGAAGCACUUUAUUGGAGAAGUUGCUUUAUCUGCGAGAAAAAGCAUUUGCAUCUGAUCAGCAGUUCUUGACUUUUGGUAAGAUAGGAAUUAGUUCCUUUUUAGAAAUCUUCUACAUAUGAGUAAAUUACAUAGGUAUGUGUAAGCUUCAGUAUCUAACAUACUGUCAAAGUGUUUUCCCUUCAGGCCUUCACCUACAUUACAACAGUAGCACACUUACUAAAUUUACUUCCCACUAUAUUACGAGCUCAGUUUGCAAGUCAGGUCUUAAAGGUAUAAUAAAAUACUUUUGUCUUCAAUAUUGCAAAUGCUCGUGAUAUCUAAAAGUGGUCUUGAGAAUUGAGACCCAAAUGAGAUACAAAGUCAUAUUGUUGACUUUUUUUAGCCUAAUGUUGGAUUAGUGUGUAAGAAAUAUGAUCAUCGGAAGAAUUCUAUGUUCAGUGUAGAUCUAGUUUACUAAUUACUAUAUUCUCUAUUCUUUCAGUAACUCUUUGUAGAAAUUAAAUUGAGAAGUAAGGAAUCGCUCCAAAACAAGCUGGGGAACUAAUUUUUUAUUGAAGCAACAUUAUACAUAGUAAUGAGAGUGCCUAAUUUAGGCAACCAAGUUAAGAUAUGUUCCUGUCACAAACUUAAUUUUUUUCUGCGGGUUUUGAUAUUCCUACUGUCUGCUGCCUUUUUCCCUAGUAGCCAGUUGCCUUUAAAAAAUUUAAAUUCUGUUUAUGUAUUCUUAUAAAGAUGACGAACAUACAGUGAUAUAUUACAAGUUUGGGAUUAGAUUGGGUGUUGAAUUGUUGAUAGAUUUAUAGUUUUGGACAUGGGAUUUCUCUUCCGUAUGCAGGAUGAGUGCUAAACAAAUAAUCUCUGUCCAAGCUGUCUCAUCAGGUACAAGUUUCUUUUGCUGUAUUUGGUAGUUACUGCCUUAAAACUUUUCAGCUUCUGUUAUUUGAUAAGUGUAUUCUGCGUUCUCUUUUAAGUGAACUUAAAUAUUGAAGUUCCUUCUUCUGAAUAUGAGGAGUUCUCAGUUAGAAGUGAAAAGGAGGGUAACAAACUAAAGGUAAUAACUCUAGUCAUAAAGUGUGACUUGUGUAUAAUAGUGAAUGAAUGCUUCAGACUUUGGAGAUUUAUUUGGUAAUCGCCUUUGUUGGCCGUGAAAUAAAAUUCAUUGCCACUUUUUGAACAGCUCAGUGUAGAGGUAUGUGGUGCUAAAACGCAAGAAAUAUUUAAUGAGGUGUUCACUAAAAUGGUUGCUGCAGCUCAGCCAAUUCCAGGAUUUAGAAGAGUUAAGGGAGGUAAUAUAUCCCAUGACAAGCUUUUUUCCAUCCGCCUUGCAGUUGUUUAUUAGUCACAUAAAUUAAAUUGGAACUUAACAAGGGAGGUAAUUUAUCCCCUGACUUUAUAUUUCAUUUUUUAAUUACUUCCCUUUGAAAACUGAGACCCAAACUAGACAUAAAGUCAGCCACAUUACUUCAUUUGUGAUGCAAAAUCCGUUUUGAUAGUUGUUGAUCAGGACUGUAAAUUGUUGCCCUUCAUUAAUUUGAUUAUGUUACCCCCAUAGUAAUUAAUAUAUUCUGCCUUUUCUGUAUUUGUUAUGCUGCUUCUUCAAUGACUUGGAACUCAGGCAAAACACCCGAUGUAAGUUUCGUAUCCCCAUUGUUUAACUGUCAUCAUUAUAUUGUCCAAAGCAGCACUUUUAGUUAUGAAGUAAAGGGGAAUUCAAUAAGCAUUAUGCAUUCUGAUUCUCUAGGGGGCGUUUGGUUCAUGGUUAAUGUGACCGGUAAACAAGAAUCGGAACCUCAUACCUAUAUGUAUUUGUGUUUGGAUCAGCAAUUUUAUUGUGUGGAAUGGGAACUUUAUUCCCUCUUGGCGGGUAAAUCAUUACUUCCACACCCCUUGGGAUACCCAUUCCCAUACCCCCAAUUCCUAUACUCCUCAUUCCCAUUCCCGAUUACCAUUCCCACACACUAUCCAAACGCCCCCUGUUAACAGAACUAGCAUUUUAACACCAGCAUAAUGCAUUCUGUGAGUUAAGAGAACUAGCAUUAUGACACCAGCAACAUGGUUACAUCUUUGUUUGUAGUUUACAGUAGUUACAUACUAUUCAAGUUUACUUUUUUCAUUUCUUUAUUGAGUCGUCUUUGAAAUCUUUACUGUCAUUGCUCAUACAAUAAUUCCUGUCCAGCAUCAAACUGCCUCAUGUUUAAUCUUGCAAAAAAAAGGAAAAAAGUUACUGUGAGGAAUCAUUGUUUUACCUUGUCAUCAUGACAUACAAACAUGAAACACCUACGUUUUAGCUUUUCUGAUAUAUCUUGAUUAUAAGUUUAUAACACUGACACGCAUGCUAACAUGUGCAUACUUAAUAUUAAAUCUGGUUUUUUCCUCUCUCUUUUUAUAUGCAAGUAGUGUUUUAGCUUUUUGCUCAUUCAUUUUCUGGCAGAUACCAAGGGACAUCCUCUUAGAAGUUCUUGGACCUUCCAAGGUGUACAAAGAAGUAAUUAAGAAAGUUAUCAACUCGGCAAUAUCUGAAUAUGUUAAAAAGGUCGGUGUAGAUUAAAAACUAUAUUUUGUAUGAACCCCCUUGUUCCUUGUCCAACUCAUUUUGACAAAAUUUGGCUAAUGCCACGAGCAUUCCACACAAGUGCAGUUAACUUAAUGGCACAAUUUAUUUGAAAUCACUGCCAGGUCUUCAUCAAUAUUAUAUAAUGCAGUUAAUACCAUUUCUUGUUUUCUCUGAGUAUUAAAAGUAUAUAACUAUUUGGUUUCGAAGUUUUAAAGAUCUUGAAGCCACCUUUCUAUGAUCCUCAUAUAAUCUUACUUUAUCUAUAUGUGCAGGAGAGAUUGAUAGUUGGUAAGAAUGUGCGUGUUGAACAAAGUUUUGAUGAUCUUGAAGCCAUAUUUGAACCUGGUGACAGCUUCCAAUUUGACGCGGUGGUUCAGUGUCAACAAUCAAAUGAAAGUUGAUUCCUUUUUUUAUUUCUUCUUUCUUCUUUCCAAUUAAAUAUAAACAGAAAUAGAAUAAUUAUCUGAUAUUUUUUGUAAACUUGUAGUUCGUAGCUACACAUUACGUCUAACAUGAGAAAAAUAUGAGAAAAUGUGAUAUACUGAAUUCUAAUGUGUAUAAACUACAGACCUACAAAUUAGUAAUCUAUAAUAGAUAUUCAUAAGAAAAUUGGAGAGUGUUUGAGAUUCCAACGAGCUCUAUUAUUGGGAAUAAGUCUUGUAUUACAUUCUUCCCUUUCAAGCUCACAUUAGUCUUUGCUCCUCUUCAUCAUCGCUAGCAUCCUCCACUAUUCCCUGUACAUAUUGAUCAUCUUCCUUCCGAAGAUGCUUCUACAACAAAGACUUGGGGCUCAUCAAUCUACAGAGGGAGGUCCCUCGAUAAGAAUCAUACAACUUGGGGUAACCACCUUUCUCCAGGUGAUGCCCACUCCAAUUAUGACGCUCUCAUUUAAAAAUUCAAGCAGGUCUUCAUCUGGGUCAAUAUUUACCUUCAAUUUUGAGCUGACUUCAUAUUUCUAUUAGAGCAGUCCCUUAAAUCAUAUUGGCAUCCCUUGAUAUAUUAUGCGUUCCUGGGGCUUGGUAAUUUCAUAGAUAGAUGAUAAAGUGAAGUAACAACCCUUAUCUCCUUCAAGAUAGGCGUCCCAAUCAUAGAACUAUAGUAUAUUGGUGCAUCAAUGAUCAUAAACUCAGUUAUCUGUGUGGAUGACACCGAGUCUUUAAUUUUAUCAUACCCUUCACCUUUACCGAGUCGCCUGUGAAGCCAUGCGAAUCAUCUCCUUAUCUAGAAAUCUAAUCUUCUAAAAGUCUUGUAGCAAGGAAUUUCACAGACCUCCCAUAUCCUUGAUCAAUAUUCACAUUCGAAACCAGCACAUUGUUGUGACGGUGAUGCACCCACACCAGCAAGAUUAUCUGUGUAUCCUCCCCGCGAACAACUUAGGAGGCCUCUCAGACUUCUGAUUAACUGAUUGGUGACUGCCUAGCCUCCCUUGCAUAUUUCUCAGACUUGAACAUAAUCCUUCUUUGCCUCUGCCUCCAGAAUAAUGAACUCAGACUUGCGAAGAACAAAAGAUACGUUUAGCUCUUUUAUAGAGCUCAAGUCAUCUCAAUUUGUUUGCAACUAAACAGAAGUCAGUACUUGAAAUUUUGCCUAUUGUCAUACCAAACCUAUGCACCAAAUCUAGCCUAUUUAGCUUGACUGAUGAAAUUUAGGAUAUUAGCUGACAAAUUCUUCAAUUCAUUUCCUGAACAUAUUAAUAUGAAUCUGAAGUCAUUCUUCAUGUUGUUUCAGAUACAUAUCAUGAACCACCUCAGUAAUUAGGACACGUGAAAUACGAAAGAUAAAUAUAGUUAACAGAAAAAUGAAUCAAAAAUAUAAUAUAUAGGAUAAGUGAAUAACCACACUUGAAAUACUGUUCUAUUUAAGCAAAAAGAAAACAGAUUCCUCAAGUCAUCUUUCAGUCUCUGCAUCCAUGCGCUCAAUCACUCUACGUGCUUCCUCCUCAGUAGCUGGUACCACAUUGCGUAUUUGUUGACCAAGGGACUCUGUACUUACAGUGAAUGUGAAGUAGAACUUGUUGGAUACCUGUGAGGCAGAAAGCAAAAACAGAUUCACAAUUUUAUCAGAAACUUGGCUGCAACCCAUAUUAUGGUUAAAUAAAAACAACGAAAACUGCAAUAUUUAGUAAUUUUAAUUUUACACAGAAGUCUUUGGUUGAGCUGAGUUAAAACUACAACUAUUACAUUUGUAGUUCAGCUGUAAGAAAACUAGAUGGCAAUUAACUUCUGCGAUUUCAUGCCUUUUGCAAGUAUCGAGUACAACAGGCCAAUAGAUGGUUCAGUUGAAAAUCUAAACAACCGACUGAUUACUGUGAUGCACAAUAGGCAUGUUUAACAGGGACGUAAACAAGCUCACCUCACUGACCCUCUUUUCAGGCCGUGUUACAUGGGCCACAACUUCGACGUUUAUAAGAGGUUUCUCAGGGUUUUCAAGUUCCGUAUACAAAACACAAGACUUGAAUCGAAGAAAAUUUCCAACAUCCACCUGCAUUAGUAGAUCAUAUAUCAAAACGAAUAAGAAAGCAUUUUUCAAAACGCUUCCGCUAACAGCUUAGAGUUCUUCUAGACACCAACGUGAAAAGAAUAUAGAAAUAAACUCUAUUACUACUACUCAACCUUUUAUCAAGAUAAUUUUAACAUGAGAAUGCUAGAAGGGUAAAGCAUAGAAAAACUGCAACUGAUUAAAAGUGAAUUAUCUGCGACUACUCACAGGCUUUAAAAAAUCAACAUGGUCAACUUCAACAAAGCGUGGUGCACUGCCUGCAAAUGAAUAAGCUGUUGCAAAACCCAGUUCGAAAGCCCUUCGCAUCAAAAAACCUCCAAAAAUCCGGCCAUGAAUGUUCCUUUGCUGUGGUUGGCAAAUCAAAGAAUUGUGAUGGCAAGUAUCCGAAAUGAGAAUGCUGUUUCUAUCAGCCAAAGCUGGCAUGUCACUAAAUAUUCGCCCUUCAGACAACAAUGCAUUGAGCCUGUCUACCUCUCCAGCGCCUAUCUUCUCCUGUUCUCUUCUCUUCUCCUUCCUCCUUUUGUUCCUUUCUUCUGCUUCUUCCCAGAGCAAUCUUUCAUUUUCAGUUUCGGGCUUCACCUGAUUAAUUUGUGCUGACUUUCCCGUAACAGGAUGACGAGCAACAAAAGUAAAAUUUGCCGUAAGAACUACUGAGUCCGUCUCAUCCGAUCCUUCUGCAAACCAAUGAAUCUUAUCAAAGAAAACAAAUAAUCUAGUAAUUAGUUAUAAUCUGGUACAUAUAUCCAGAUGCGAAUCCAACCGAAGAAUUUCUAAGCAGAUGAAUAUUUCAAAAGUAAAGAAAAAGGCAUAACAUGGUAGUAAUACUACCUUUUGCGACCUGAGUGACGAGCAAUUGAAUUUCCAUAGACGAACGUCCAACCCAAGUGACAGAACCAACAAUUGUGACAUCCCUUUCAACUAGAAUUGGUUUCUUAAGAGCAAUCCUGUCGACAGAUGCCGUGACUAAUAUUAGGGGGCUUGUUAAGGUGUCAUCACUGGAACAAUGCUGGUAAUGAGAAAAAAAAACAUUAAUACACGAUUAAUGUUUAAAAGAAAUCGGAUACCAAACAGUCCAAUGAAUGAAUAAUUAAUCCACAUUGAAGCUGAGAAAAUGAUUAAUUAUGAAAAUGUUGUUAAUUGACGACAAAGCAAUGAAAUGUAAUUAGAUGGUAAAAAUUAAAAUGAAGGAGAAUGAAAGUAGUGUAGUUACUACUUCCUCCGUCCAAGCAGGAAGUAUACAUCGGGGACGAGGACUCGACACGCAUUUUAACACUCCAUUAAACUAUAAAUACGGAAGUAGACUUUAUAUUCAUCAUAAAAUACGUGUCAAACAUCGAAGAAAAACGAUAUACAAUUGGAUGGGACAGAGGGUAUACCUUAAAAGAAAUGGUUCCGGCAAGGGCGUCGAGAUCUUCAACCAAUUUGCCCAUCCUCAUCCUAUUCCAAGGAUUCCGAUAUUGUUCUCUAAGCAUGUAAUCCGUGGAGAAUUUAUAAACAACGCUGGUCCUGCUUUUCGAGGGGGAUUUCGCAAGUACUUGUGUAUUAUUAUUAGUAUUGUUAUUACCAUGAGCUGGAAUUUUGGGUUCAUAAAUAUUUGAUCUAGCUUCCCACAAAGCAUUGGUUACAGGAGAAUGGUACAUUCCGGGCCACAAGCUAAUCGGCUUUCGUAUCGAAGAACCCGCAUCAAUGGGCUCAUCGGAAUCACCGUUUGGUUUAGCAGAAUCUGGGUGUGGUGGGGUGGUGGUUGUGGAUGAUGAAUACAGCUUGUUGUUGCUGUUUUUCCAGAAUAUGGGGUGUGAAUAUUGAACAUGCUUGUGGGUGAUUGGGGGUUGUUUUGGUUUUGGGAUGGAGGAGGAGGAUUUGUAGGAAUUUGCAGCAAAAAGAAUGUUGAAAAAUGGUUUCUUUGUUUUCAUUUUUCCAACCUCCUGCUCACACCAUCUGUUUCUUGUUUUUAUUCCACUGUCAAUUCCUUCUAAUUUUCCCUAAUUUGGUGGCGCCCCUCUUUCUUCCAUUGUCGUACAACAUAAUAUUAUAAGAGGCCGUUUGGUUAGGGGUAACUGACAAAGGGAAAGGAAAACAACCCGUCUCAUUCCCUUUGUUGUUGUUUGUUUUAUGAAAUCUGCCAUUCCCUUUGCUUUGUUUUGGUUUUAGGUUUACCCCAGAUCCCUCCUGAUCCAUUCCCCACCCCCGACCAGGUAUUUCUUUUCCCUUUCCUCAUUCUUAUUUUAUUUUCACUUAUAAUUUAUUUCAAAAAUCAUUAACACUAUAAAAUAAUAUGUAAAAAUAUUUUUGAAGAUCAAAAAUAAAUUUUAAUUUAGUUUUUACAUAUUAAAAAUAAUUUUAAUAUAAUUUAUAAGUCAAGAUAUUUUUAAAGUUAAUGAAAUUUUUAAAUGAUAAAAUAUAUCAAAUUAUAAACGUGAAUAUAUUUGACUCUUUUGAUAUUAUUUAAUAUUUAAAAAUUAAAUAUAGGAAUAAUCAUAUAAAUUUUCAUUCCGUUUCCAGAUCAAAACCAAACAGGUAAUACAAUUCAGCAUCAUUCCUUUCCUUUCUCUUCGUUUCCCUUUCUGAAUUUCAUUCCGUUUCCUUAACUCGAACCAAACGGCCCCUUAGGGUAUUAGAAACACGAUCAUUUUCUCGAGUUGGGCUCUAUAAGGACAAUUAUAUUUAGAGUCAUUAGAGACCUAUGUCUCUACCGUUGGAUGGAAGACUAAGACUAAUCUAAAGGCCAGGAUUAAAGAUUUAUAAAUUAAUUAAAAUCUUUACAAACAAAACAGCAAGCGGAAAAAAAAUAUCGUAUACGAGAUUGGCGGGCUUAUCUACAGCAAUUACGUUUUUCAAAACCAAACAGGUAAUACAAUUCAGCAUCAUUCCUUUCCUUUCUCUUCGUUUCCCUUUCUGAAUUUCAUUCCGUUUCCUUAACUCGAACCAAACGGCCCCUUAGGGUAUUAGAAACACGAUCAUUUUCUCGAGUUGGGCUCUAUAAGGACAAUUAUAUUUAGAGUCAUUAGAGACCUAUGUCUCUACCGUUGGAUGGAAGACUAAGACUAAUCUAAAGGCCAGGAUUAAAGAUUUAUAAAUUAAUUAAAAUCUUUACAAACAAAACAGCAAGCGGAAAAAAAAUAUCGUAUACGAGAUUGGCGGGCUUAUCUACAGCAAUUACGUUUUUCAAUUUAUCCUCUACAAGAUGAUCGUGAUUCUUGCUGAUUUUCAUAUUCACAUAUCUUCCUGAUUCUGAGAGACAAUGCAGGACAAUAGCGGAGUUAGGCAGAGAGCAAGUGCAAGCAUGAGUCAAGGUACGGAUCUCUCACUUUUCUUUAAUCAGUUGAAUGCUGAUAUUUGUUGUGUGUUUGGUAUUUGUCAUGUGCAAGACAACUUUAUACGAUAAGGCAUACAUAGGUUGAUGUUAUGAUAUGAUUUGUCUAGCUUUAUGUAGGAUCACCCACCAUUUGUUUGACAAAAUUCCGCUAAGAAACAUUUUAUCUUGUUCUAGUUCUUCUAGUUUGAUUUUGUACUACUGACCGAUUACAUGUUGAUUAUCCUUGACAUCCUCUGUAAAGGAUGUCUUGUUCAACGGAACUUGGUAUAGCUAUAGCAUGAUAAAUAAAAAAUCGGCAGAUUUCGAGUUCACUCCUAGGGAUUUUAUAGCCUUGAAUAAUAAGGAAUGCAAUUUGUAUUUUCCGGUCUAUGUUUUAAAGUGCCAGACCCGUAUAUUGAGGAAAAAAACAAAUGUUAGUCACUACAUUUUGUCAAAACUAUGAUGUCUAGUUUAGUUUGAGAUCAGUUUUUCAUGACUCAUUGGACAUAGUUUGAGAUAUUAUGACUUCUAAAGUUUAACGGUUACGUUGCAAAAAUUAGUAUAUAUGGUCCUCAAAAGACCUCCCAAUUUACAAACUGCUUUUUUGUCAAAAUUAUAACAAAUAGCCUUGGUAUUCUGAGGCCCGUGUAUAUGUUACUCUGUUGCCAAAAGUGUCAUAGUUUUUUUCUAGUAUGUUAACAAUGUAGAGAUUGAUUUCUAAUUGUGGAUUAUAAUGUGACACGAACGUCCUAACACAGCUAUACUGAUAUCCGAGAUAAUUUUAGAAUAUACAUGACAAUUUUUAUCCAUCAAAAUAAUAAAUGGUGAUUGUAUUUAAGAAAAUAAUUUGUAUAUACAAGUAAACUGUCAGAAAGUUUUUGAUACUAAAAAGCUACUGUAUCUACAAUUUAGAAGUAUAUUUUUUAUAUAUAUUUUGAUGUAUGCGUAAACUAUUUGCAACGAAAAGACGAAGAAGCAGUAGGCUCAAUUGUUCACCGUGGUUGAACAAAGGGACUAAGAGGCCUCCUGUAUACGUGGACUUAGAUACGGAAGAGAGGCGUUCUGUUGUGAAUAAAAAAGCAAGGCAUCUAAAAGAUUCUAGUGUAGAAGAACUCGAAAUUACUUUUAGAAGGAACAUAAACUGGGGUAGUGGCUUAGGGAGUUCGAGGAAGCCGGAGAGUAAGGAUUCUAAAUCCAGACAUUCUAUAGUAAUCAGUCAGGAUGUUCGUCAAGCAGUGUCCAAAGUGAAUGUUGGAGAUGGUAGUGAUGACGAUGACUUUGUUACAACUCUGGAGAAAUUUGGGAGCAGCAGUUUGGUUAACGAAAGAGGAACGACUAAUUCAAGGAGGAAGACAAGGGGAAACUCGAAUAAGAAAGCAAUUUUUGCCCUUGUCAGUGGCUUGCCGGAAGGGAACACAACAUCACAACAGAGGAUAACAAGGAGUAUGAAAAAGAAUGCAAAAAGGAAUGAUCGGAAAAAUACAAAGAAUGCCUUUGGGACUAAGAAUCAAUAUGCAGCAAAGGUAUUUCAACUUUAUGUUGUUUGAAUUUUGUGGACACUAAUGGUCACACAAAAGUAGUCUAAAAGUGCAAGACAAGCUGAAUUAAUCUAAAACUGCAUAGCUUUUAUCUUGUAUUUUGCAAACUAGUUUAUUAAAGUGCAAGACAAGAUGAAUUAAUCUUUUGUCCUGCAUUUAAUAUUAUUUUACAAUGCAAUUUAUAGACUUUGUCGUCUUAUCUUCUUAUCUUUUUUAUCUUUAAAAAGUUGUUGAAAACAAACUUAUUAGGUCGUGUCUUUCUAAUAGGGUGCCAUAAUUGUUCCUCUUGUGCAUGUUUUAGUAAUAUGUGAAGUAGACUUGCUCCAAUACUGAAGAAUUUUCCAUAUCUCUACUUGAAAAGCAAAUUAUCAUACAUUGUCCUACAAAUAGUAGUCGUUUGUCCUGCAUAUAAUUUGUAAGGGUUUCUUCGGUUAUCAAAGUGCAUUGCAGAACCAUGUUAUUUUUUUUUGCUAAAUCGUAAUCAUGUAUCAUGUGAUGCUUUCCUUAUUCUUUAUAAUGCAAGACAAUUGAGACAGGCUGUGUACUUGUAUCUUGUGGUCAUACCGUGGUGGUUAUAUGCAGGAAAAACUUUCGUAAGGAUUGUCUAGCAAUUUAAUAUUCUUCGGGAUAUAUGCAUAACUUUGUUUUUUAAAUACAGGGUGAGGCUGUUGGCUACAAAGAAGUUGUAAUUAAUGAAAAACCACCAAAAAAAAAGUACGCAGCUAUGACAACUACAUUCAAAAGAAGUUCUCGCCAGCUAUAAUGCGAGACAUUCUAAUCAGUCUAUCAGAGGAACAAGUUGGCUGGGUAAAACGCACUGGGUUUGGCGGAAUCUUGGAUAUGAGGAUGGAAAAAUACCCACAUAGACUGGGAUAUAAUGUGGUAUCUGCAUUUAACGUGGAAGAAUGCAUGUUGAGCUUGAAGGCAGGCAAUAUAAAGAUAACUAAAGACAUUGUUCACAAUAUAAUUGGGCUGCCAAGAGGUAAGGAGAGAGUAAUAAUUUCCAAAGAUAAAGUAGCAUAUGAUUUUUAAGGCCUUCAAUUUCCUGGAACGCUAACAUGUAAGGUGUAACAUAACAUGGUGAAGAAAAAGAUUCUAGAUUCACGGGUGGCAGCAAAACAUUCAAGUUAAAUUUUUUGGUGUUGAUGCACAACUUCUUUAUAGAAGGACAUCAGAAUCGACAUUUGAUGAGGGAUAUAGUGUCUUUUUCCGAUGAUAUUGAUAACUGUGCAAAUUACAACUGGUGUGGCUUACUUAUCGAGAAGCUGAAACGUAAACAUGCUUUCUGGAAUGAGGAAAGGAGUAGAGACUUCACCGGCUCACUCCCUUUUUUGAUUGUAAGUGAACCUACUAUGUAAAGCAUUAAAAUUAAGUUUGUCCUCUACUAUAUGCUAAUUGUAUCUUUAAAUUUGUAGUAUUUGUACGUAAAUCAAGUCAACAAUGGGAAGACUAGCACAGUUUCUUUGCAGACACCGGCAUAUAAGGUCCGGUCAAAUAUGUUACUGUUGGAGAGGCAGAAAUUUGAGUGCAAAAACGACUCUUUCGGGGUGGGACACAUAGGCGGAAAGGAGACAACGACUGUGGUAAUGCAUGAUGCAUUUUGUUUUGUUUUUUCAAAGGCAAUAACAUAAUUUAGUUUAGUGGAAGACAAAUUUAUUUUGUGCAGAAUGAGAUGAACCAGAGAGUGGCACAACAAGACAAGGAAUUGCAAGAGCCUCAACAGGUCGGGGAUAAAGAGGUAGCUAUUUUAUCCCGCUGUUUAACCAUAUCCUGCAUCACAUAGUACAUGUAUCAAAAAUAAAGUCUAGUAAUUUGAGAUUGCUGAGUCCUUGGUCUGAGAAUAAUUACUCAACAAUGUUACAAAAUACAUAAUACAAACUACUUCAUCUGAAUGAUAGUUGUUAUUUUGGUGUGGAACUAGAUUUUCAUCAAGUAGUUUGUGACUUUCCAAUAUUAAAACAGAUGUUUUAUACUACCUAGGUUGUAUUUAUAUAUCAAGAUCAACUAGUAAUUAUUGCUCCUGGUUUUGUGGCAGGAUGACAUUGUGGCCAAUAGUGUGAGUGGAAGUCUUGUCCAGCAGGAUGACAUCAACACGGUCAUAGAUGAUGUCUGCAGGACAAACAAUGUGAGUAGCCACAUUCGUGGUACACUAAAUAAUAUGUCUAGAAAGGUAUUUGAUAGUUUUUUGUUAAUGAAUUACACAGGUUCAAGAAACCGUAGAUGAAGGUGAUCGAUUCACUAAGUCAGCAACUGAAUACAUGGUAUUUUCCAUUUACAAAGAAACAUGAUCAAUAACUUGUUGAAUAGCACUUAUGUCCUCUUUUUAUCACCUUUAUUAAGAAAAAUUAAAUCCGGAGGGUAUGAGAAGCACAUUGCAUGACGAAGUUCUAGUGACACGGAACCUUGAUAAAGAAACUAGAUAAUGUAUACUAUCAAACUUAUUUCCAAUCAUUCGUUCCACAAACCAUUUCAGUAAAACUGACCAUUUAAAUUUGCAUUUUAACUUUUUUCAGGGAGAGAUUCUGGUAGAAAGCGGGACGCAGGCUAGAUUUGGAGCAGAGAUUGAAAAACACUUUGAGGAAAAGGUUUGUUUUUUUUGUUAAAAUGUAAUACACACUCUCUUUGUAUGUAAUAAUUUUAAGCUACUCCUGUUACAAGCAUGUAUUGAGAGAUUUGUCAACAGCCUUACUGAGCUGCACAAGGCGUACAAGAAAUGCAUUGCAUAUUGUGUCUCUACAUUUGCCUUAUUUCCUGAAAGUGAGAGUCUUGCAAAACUAAAGGCUGAGUACCCCAUGUUCUUUAACCUGUUUGCCGAAACAAGCCCAAUGACGAAGAAUAUGUGUUUGCGUAGCAUUGGUGUGGGAAGAAACGUGGAAGUUAUGGAUGACGAUGAUAGUUUUGUGCCAAACUACUCACUUGGAAUAUCUCAAAUCAGCCCAAAAAAUCUAGAAAAAAAUAUUGAAGGUUUGUCAUGUAUCAAAGAAAAGGCAAAUGCAAGUGCUGUUGAAAAAGCAACUCUUUUUCCGAACAACUCAAUUGGACAAUCUGAUAUCAGCUCAAAGGAUCUUAAAACAAGUGCGAAUGCAGGAUGCUCUGACAAAGAAUAUAUCGAAAAGAAUAGAGAACAUUUGCGACGAAUGGGAAAGGUGGUUUUUGAUAAAGAUGGUUAUGUAAGGCAAAUGAGGGGAUUAGCUCCAUCACGGAUUUGCAGAUCUCCAUUCGGUACUAGAGUAACAGAUGUUAAUGCACAUAGGAUAACUAUCGAGGAGCGAGACCUUUGGGACUAGCUCAUGCAAGACGAACGAGACAGUGGGUAAGUUGGCUUUCUUUUGUCUUUUAAUUAAAGUUAUAUUGUGUUUUAGAUUAUGCCCAGUCUGAUACAGCUAUAACAUGCAGCGAUAUACUAUUCCAGUGGAAUGAUCCCAAGUGUACUAAGGCUCACUUUCAAUCACUGGGGGAAAAUAAGAUGGUGGAGACGACUGUGAUAGAUACUUGGAGUUACAUACUUAACAUCAAUGAGAACUUGCGUUCUGACAGUUCACCGUUAAGAUUCUCCCUCACAACUGAAACAACGGUUCUAAAUUACCAACAGUGUGGCACACAAAGGAGAACCAACAGUGUUUCAGUUGUGAGGAACAAUCUUAACGGUGAACUAUCAGAACACAAGUUCUCAUUGAUGUUAAGUAUGUAACUCCAAGUAUCUAUCACUGUCGUCUCCACCAUCUUAUUUUCCCUCAGUGAUUGGAAGUGAGCCUUAGUACACUUGCGAUCAUUCCACUAGAAUAGUAUAUCGCUGCAUGUUAUAGCUGUAUCAGACUGGGCAUAAUCUAAAACACAAAUAACUUUAAUUAAAAGACAAGAGAAAGCCAACUUACCCACUGUCUUGUUCGUCCUGCAUGAGCCAGUCGCAAAAGUCUCGCUCCUCGACAGUUAUUCUAUGUGCAUUAACAUCCGUUACUCUAGUAACGAAUGGAGACCUGCAAAUUCGUGAUGGAGCUAAUCCCCUCCUUUGCCUUACAUAACCAUCUUUAUCAAAAACCACCUUUCCCAUUCGUCGCGAAUGUUCUCUAUUCUUUUCGAUAUAUUUUUUGUCAGAGCAUCCUGCAUUCGCACCUGUUUGAAGAUCCUUUAAGCUGAUAUCAGAUUGUCCAAUUGAGUUGUUCAGAAAAAGAGUUGCUUUUUCAACAGCACUUGCAUUUGCCCUUUUCUUUGAUACAUGACAAACCUUCAAUAUUUUUUUCUAGAUUUUUUGGGCUGAUUUGAGAUAUUCCAAGUGAGUAGUUUGGCACAAAACUAUCAUCGUCAUCCAUAACUUCCACGUUUCUUCCCACACAAAUGCUACGCAAACACAUAUUCUUCGCCAUUGGGCUUGUUUCGGCAAACAGGUUAAAGAACAUGGGGUACUCAGCCUUUAGUUUUGCGAGACUCUCACUUUCAGGAAAUAAGACAAAUAUAGAGACACAAUCUGCAAUGCAUUUCUUGUACGCCUUGUGCAGCUCAGUAAGGCUGUUGACAAAUCUCUCAAUACAUGCCUGUAACAGGAGUAGCUUAAAAUUAUUACAUGCAAAGAGAGUGUGUAUUACAUUUUAACAAAAAAAAAAAACAAACCUUUUCCUCGAAGUGUUUGUCAAUCUCUGCUCCAAAUCUAGCAUGCGUCCCGCUUUCUACCAGAAUCUCUCCCUGAAAAAAGUUAGAAUGCAAAUUUAAAUGGUCAGUUUUACUGAAAUGGUUUGUGGAACGAAUGAUUGGAAAUAAGUUUGAUAUCAUACAUUAUCUAGUUUCUUUAUCAAGGUUCCGUGUCAUUAGAUCUUCGUCAUGCAAUGUGCUUCUCAUACCCUCCGGAUUUGAUUUUCCUAAUAAAAGUGAUAAAAAGAGGACAUAAGUGUUAUUCAACAAGUUAUUGAUGUUUCUUUGUAAAUGGCAAAUAAUAUGUAUUCAGUUGCCGACUUAGUGACUCGAUCACCCUCAUCUACGGUUUCUUGAACCUGUGUUUCAUUAACAAAAAACUAUUAAAUACCUUUCUAAAAAACUGAUCUCAAACUAAACUAGACAUCAUAGUUUUGACAAAAUGUAGUGACUAACAUUUGUUUUUUUCCUCAAUAUAUGGGUCUGGCACUUUAAAACUUGGAUCGGAAAAUACAAAUUGCAUUCCUUAUUAUUCAAGGCUAUAAAAUCCCUAGGAGUGAACUCGAAAUCUGGAGAUUUUUUAUUUAUCAUGUUAUAGCUAUACCAAGUUCCGUUGAACAAGACAUCCUUUACAGAGGAUGUGAAGGAUAAUCAACAUGUAAUCGGUCAGUAGUACAAAAUCAAACUAGAAGAACAACAAGAUAAAAUGUUUAUUUGUGGAAUUUUGUCAAACAAAUGGUGGGUAAUCCUACAUAAAGCUAGACAAAUCAUAUCAUAACAUCAACCUAUGUACGCCUUAUCGUAUAAAGUUGUCUUGCACAUGGCAAAUACCAAACACACAACAAAUAUCAGCAUUCAACUAAUUAAAGAAAAGUGAAAGAUCCGUACCUUGACCCAUGCUUGCACUUGCUCUCUGCCUAGCCCCGCUAUUGUCCUGCAUUGUCUCUCAGAAUCGGGAAGAUAUGUGAAUAUAAAAAUCAGCAAGAAUCACGAUUAUCUUGCAGAGGAUAAUUUGAAAAACGUAACUGCUGUAGAUAGGCCCGCCAAUCUCGUAUACGAUAUUUUUCUCCGCCUGCUGUUUUGUUUGUAAAGAUUUUAAUUAAUUUAUAAAUUUUCGAUCCUGGCCUUUAGAUUAGUCUUUCAUCCAACGGUAGAGACAUUGGUCUUUAAUGCCUCUAAAUAUAAUUGUCCCCACAGAGCUCAACUCUACUUUUAUAAGUCACAGUAUACUAUGUUCUGUAAUAUACUCCCUCUGUCCCAUUGAAUUGUAUACAGUUUCCUUUUUAGGACGUCCCAUCAAUUGUAUACAUACCAAAAAUAGUAAGUUUUUAUGAUAUAAAAUAUAACUAGAGUGUGUUUUCAUGGGUACAUGCUAAGCACGGAAACUCAUAAA